AGUGUAACAUCGUUAUCCUUGUCAAUUUUGGUACAAACCCUUUCACUGAGUAGUUGAGUAUACAUAGUAAAUUUUCUUGUUUUUACCACUGUUAUUAAUGUUGUUAUUAGGUUAGUUUUGUGACUUUUGUUUCUUACAAAGAUAAGAUGUCUGGUAAAAUAAAAUGCUAAUUACAGUCGUUCAUGUAUGCCUAGACAAUUUUAAGGCAUUGAUUUUUUUGUUAUGCAUACGUAGACGACUCUUAAGCAUCGAUCUAAUAUAGGGUGGACGUCCAUGGAAUUGGCCAUAAAAGAUCACAAAUGUUUAGGCUUUAUUUUCUUGAGUAACUUCUGAGCAUACUACAAAUACACAUUCAACUUCUGAAUUUUAGGGUUUUUAAUUGUUAGUAAGACUUGUUGGGUUACUCUUAUCCACACACACACAUAAUCAGGUGUCAAAUCAUAAAAUAAAUCCUAAUGUUUUAAAUUAGAAGUGGAGAAAUAUUCAUAUCGACAUGCGUUGAAUUAUAUAUAUAUAUAAGUGUAAGCUUUUGAUUGCAUGAUUUGACACCUGAUUAUGGAAGACAUGUGUAAGCUUUUGAUUGCAUGAGCUUUGUUGCGGUGUGGGGCAGUAGUAGUUGUACCAGCUUUGACAUGUCUACACAAAAGACUCCACAAAUUGAAAAAUUUAGUACCAAAAAAGUUGAAAUAGUGAUGUAUAAAUAUACUUGUGGACCUAAUGAGUCCUUACCUACUACGAGACUCCACCUCACCCUGAGAUUAUCUUUAGUUUUUAUUAUCCUUUGCAAUAUGUCACUCUCUUUACCUACCAAUAUGUCACUCUCUUUACCUACCAAUAUGUCACUCUCUUUACUUACCAAUAUGUCCUGUCUGUACCGAUAUUUUUUUUGAACAAGAAUUGUCUGAGCUCUCUUGUCCUUCUAUUUGUGUAAUCACGGUUAAAUUACGUCAAUAUUUUAUAUCACUAUUCAUUUUUGUCUUACUAUCUCUAUAAAAAAAUAAUAUAAAAUGUUGACGUGGCUUAACCGUGACCACACAAAACAGAAGGGCACGGAAGGGCAAACAAUUCUUGUCCAUUUUUUUUGGGCUGUUUUAUUUCUCGCUUUUAGCUGCAAAAUCCUUGUAAUUUGUCAUUCUGAACUUUGUUAUAAAAAUUCCCUUUGACUAAAAAAAAAACAAAAAAAAAUUAUCCCCUUUGUUAGGCCACCAUGCAAGUUCAAUGAUUUAGUGCUCUCAAUGAUCUUAGGAAUAUAUACGGUGCCAAUAUUUCACCAUUACUAGGUCCCACUUCAGGAAAUGAAGUGGGUCAAACAAAAAUUCAGGAAAUAAUACUGUCUUCUGCAUGAAGACUAACUGGUGUUCUUAAACUAUAUUUCAAUAAAAAUAAAUAUUUGCUAAUCAUUGGUUUACUUCUUUUGUAUUUUUUGUUGAGCAUAUAUAUCUAAAAGAGUGAUUACGUCGUACUAAUUGAUAGCUUCUUCUGAUAUGUAUUUGCAUUUUGUUAGUUUACUUGGUGUUUUUUAUUUUUUUAUGUGAUUAAACUAAUAUGUCAAAUAUAUACUUUGCAGGUGUAAAGAUAAUGGGAAACCCAGAGCAGAACCAUACAAGUUCACAAACCAGAAGCUACGAGACUUAGGGUUGGAGUUCACCCCAGUCAAACAUACCCUGUAUGAAACUGUCAAGAGCUUGCAGGAGAAGGGCCACCUUCCAGUCCCUACAAAACAAGAACAAGAUUCCAUUAAAAUUCAAUCUUAACUUAUAAUAGUAUAAAAAGAUAAGAAGCAUGAAUAUGUUCAAGUCCUUAAUUGUUUGUUUGCUUAAAUACUUAUCUUAUUUUGGUCCCUAUAAUAAAGCUGCGAUGGUAUUUUUAAUACUAGGUUCUAGUAGAGGGCACAGUUUUCAGGAAAGAUGUUGUUUGCAGUCCCAUUUCUGAAUUCUGAGAACCAAAUAAAUUUUUGUAAUGAAGUCAAUAACUCUUAAGCCAAAGUAUCUUUGGAAACGGUUAAUUUCUGAAUUCUUUUCGUAAUUUCCUACUAAUUAUAGAUUUGCAUGGCAUAAGUUUAGGACAACAUCCCCAUGACAAGGAAAGAUUUUUAGUGUAUUAGGAACAUACCUUUAUAUAUCAAGUGGCAUUAUACAAGUGGAUAAAUACUUUAAAAAAAAACUUUUUCUCACUUAUUUUAUGACACUUAAGUACCGAGCCGUAUUCAUAAUACACUGCAUAAUCUCUCCAUAUAAGCAAAUGGAUAAAAAAAAAUUUAAAAGGAAAGCAAAUGCUAUUGUGCAAAAUUGUUUUAACAGUUUGGAAUUUUCAAUGUACUAUUAAUCUGAAGGUGUGAUCUUUUAUCUCAAUAUACUUUGAUACAAUUUAGGAAGUUACCACUUAAUAUGUAACAUUAUAGAAGGACAAUUACUUUUUCUGAUGUGCGACAAUUGUAUUUGAUUCACAAUUCCUAACAACGCUCUCUCUAUCACAUCAGUGAGAAUAUUUGUUCAGUUUAGACGGAAUCGGAUCCCCUCCGGAUCCCAAUAAAUUGAGCCUAAGGAUCAAAUGAUCCGGACCGUUGAAAUUUGAUCGAACGAUUAUAAAUAGAGAGUCCCUCUAAAAGUUAUAAUAAUUGUAGUCGUUGUAUCAAAUUUCAACGGUCUGGAUCAAAUGAUCAUUGAACUCAGAUUAUUGGGAUCCGAAGAGGCAACGUGCCAACCCUAUCUGCAACUUCAUUUAAGAAUUUAAUUAUUUGAACUGGUUUAGGACUUUGAGGCCUCAAAUUCCUCCUACUGUGGGAUUGGAUGCCGUUGUAGGGCGGCUAAUUAGAUGACUCAAAAAGGGGUGGAAUAAUAAAAGGGAAAGAUAUAUACAAGUAACCUACCGACCAAGGAACAAUUGGUUGGUUUCUUGGUGAAGCACUUGCUGUGCGAAGUUGGUCGAUUAUAUUGUUAAACAGUCAUAAAUAUUCAAUUGUAAUGCUGACCCUUUCAAAGGAAACUCCACUAUAUGAGGACCAAACAAAACCCAUGAUGCCAUGCGUAUGUAUUUCGUAAGCCUGCAUGAGCAUUAUACCAUAUAAAUAUUAAUAAGGAAAUGGUUUUCAGUCAUUUUAGCGUUACACGCUUCUCUGUUUAAUACUAACUCUUUAUUUCAUUUUAUUAUUUAAUUCGAUGAUCAUAAAUCAAGAAAGUCGUGUUAAAAGUUAAAAAAUAAUUGUGCGAAAAUCACAUUCCUAUAUAUAUGUGUGUGUGCGCGUGUAAUAAAUAUAGAAGUAAAUUACACCUUACCACCUUAAGUUUGAAGUCGAUUUCAAUUUCUUACAACAUGUUUAAAACAUUUCAAUUUCAUACCUCAAGUACUAUUUUAUUUCAAUAUAAUACAUCCGUUACAUUUUUCAUCUAUUCAUCCGUUAAGAGCUGACAUGGCUCCUAUAUUUGUGCCACAUGUGGCAAAAAAAUAAUUUUUUAAUUAAAGAAAAAAAUUGAAAACGCAAAACCCAACCCCCACCUCCCCAUCUCUCUCCUUCUUCUCCAACCCGCCAACCCCUUACUCUUCCAUCCUUGCCCACCGACAUCUCCAUCGCCAACGUCAACUGUCGGGGGAAAUGGUCUUGCCUCAAUGGGAGGGAGGUGGAGAUGGUUGGAGACUUUGGUAGUAGGUUUUGUAGUUGGGCUGCGGGGGAGAAUUGCAGAGGAAAAAGGGUGGGGGGUGUUCUAGAACAGAAAGAGGGAAAAAAGGGUAGAGGGGUUCUGGAACGAAAUAGGGAGAAAGGGACUCAAGGGAGAAUCGGACCUCGUAGUUUUGGAUGUGGCUCACCAAAUCAGUCAUGGUUUCCAGCGAAAACAGGCACCAAAAAUCUUCUAAAUUGAAGCAAACCGACCGCCUCGCCGCCCGCCACAUUUUGGUCUUGGAUCUUCGACCUGGAUCCCCAUCAACAAAACCUUCUUCCUCGCUGUCGGCUUUGCCAUGAAAAGUCGGAUUCGAGACGGGACUCUUCACGGCAUCGCCAGGUGGGUUGAGAGGGAAGAAGAAGCGGAAGAAGAAGAGAGUGGAGGGGAUGGGUUUUCCGAUCUCGAAGUCUUGCAAGGACCAUUCUUUCUUCUAGGUUUCUUGCAAUUUUGUGGGUUUUUGUUUUUGAUUCCAUUGCCCUCUGAUUUCUAGAACGGAUUUUCUGGAAUUGAAAAGCCAGAGAGAGAAAGGAAGAAACAAUGUGGAGUAGCUCAUGUGGAGCCAAAAAUAAUCAAGAGGCGGCACGUGAAUUUUUGGAUCAAAAUGACAAAAUUACUCUCAAGGUACACCGAAAUUCUUACGCGCGAGCAGUGGAAGAAACCUAAGGUGUUAUUUGUUUUUUGGGGUCGGGGCGGGGAAAUGAUGGGUUUUGGGGUUUCUUUGUUUUUUUUUUAACUUUUCUUUAAUUAAUUAUUUUAAUAUUUUAAAAUUUUUUAUUAGGUUUAGCCACAUGGCACAAAUGUGGCAGUCAUGUCAGCUCUUAACGGACCAAUGGAUGGAAAAUGUAACGGAUGUAUUAUAUUGAAAUAAAAUAGUACUUGAGGUAUGAAAUUGAAAUGUUUUAAAGAUGUUGUAAGGAAUUGAAAUCAAUCCCAAACCUGAGGUGGUAAAGUGUAAUUUAUCCUAAAUAUAGGUAUAGGCAGUGACAGAUCCAAGAUUUAAACCUUGGGGAUCCUAGUGUUAAAUACGAGUUUUUUAGAUAGGAAAAGAGUGUGAAGCGCUAAAAAAAGAAAAAAAAUUCAGUUUAUUCACUUGGUGUGCUUGUUAUGCACAUGUCAAUAGAUAUCGACAUGCGCUGAAGCAAUCUGAUGAGUACUAUAGAGAGAACUUGUCGAGUAUUGUCAACGCAACAUGUCGAAAUAUGCCUAGCAUGCAUUGCAUCGAACAUUUAAUGGGCACAAAAGGGAUCCUUAAUAACAUUCAGAAGGUCAUCGGAAAACCUUCACAUGUAUAUUUUUCGAACUCGGGUGGCCCUGGGAUAGUAUUGGUGUUGUUGGAGUGGGCCCUCAGUCCGUCAACCUGAAAUUUAAGAUGGUAUCAGAGCUAGGGGACGGGCUCGUAUUGCCACGUGAACGGGUGGGUCCCCUUUGACCUCGCGUGAAUGGGUGAGCAGCGACUUGGCUCCAUGUAGGCCAAGAGAUGCCACGUGAAUGGGUGGGUCCCCAUUGGCCCCGCACAAACGGGUGAGCCUCGACUUGGCUCCACGUAGUUGCUGAUAUGUGGAACUUCACAUGUGAUCCAUAAAAUAGGGUCUCAUGUGUAGGGGAGUGUUAGAAUUAAUCUGUCUCACAUCGCCCAGAAGGCUUGAGAACAAGCCAUUUAUAUAGAAUUACCCCACUCUAACUAACACCGAGGUCUUUUGUGAAAAAAACCCCACACCUGACGGAUUUAGUAGGUGACCAAGUGGGGAUAGUAUCGGUGUUAUUGAAGUGGGCCCAUGCCCUGUCUACUUGAAAUUUAAGACCUUGGUCUUUACUUCCAUCCACCCCAAGGUAUAAGGAAGGAACAUAUUAUAAAUAGUGUGCAUAUUUGACCGUAUGUACUGGCCAUAUAGGAAGGGUUGAAAAGAUACCAUAAUGUUGCUGCUGCUCAACAAACAUCCCAUCCCGCCAUUAAAAAAGGGGGUAUUUUUUCUUCGAAGUUUCACCCAUGUAAUGUACGUACUCAAGUUCAAUUCUAACCCCACCAACUGUAUUUUAUUUUAUUGUUGCGUAAACUCGUAACUCCAAUAUUACAAGCAAUUUUCUCCUCCGUCUCCAGACUUUCCUUUAUAUUCCCCCCCCCCUUUUCUGUAAUAUGCACUGAGCAGAUUGAUUGGCGCCGGCGGUGUAAUAUAUUUUACGUUUAGAACGAGCCAUCUUCUACGUACAAUAAAACCUUAUAUAUAUAUAUAUAUAUAUAUAUAACAUUGAGACCGAGCCAAUUUUAUUACUAUUACUUAAUAGAGGCGUAAUUAAAAAAAAAUUGUAUUCUUUUACUUAGCCAUUCUUAAUGAAAGUUGAAUAAAUACAAAGAACUACGUGUAGUGAAGGAUGUUAAUUUUCAAGUUGUAACAUUAGAAAAGUAGACACCUAAUUAUUCAAGAGAGACAUUUUUUUCAUGCAAAAUGUUGUGUUUAAAAAAUCACUCGAGAAAUAUGAAGUAUUUGAUAGAUUGCUAUGAGUCUGGUCUAGUAAACAAAGGAUUCGCUAGAGAAAAAGUAUUAAAUUAUGAUCUAUUUUGUCAAUGUGAAACAUUUGUCACAUGAACAAUAUACGAUUUUUCUACAUGUUAUAUACUUGUUUGGAUUAUAAACGAAAGACAUGAGACUUUGUACCAUAUGGUUGGACUUACAUUUGAAACCUUCCCUACACUCCCCCGAUGUGAUGUGAGCUCAAGUGCAACUGGUUGCAUACCAUUUUCUUAUCUCUCCAAUCAUGUGACGAUAGAUAAAUUGUAUGUAAAGCGCUACAUGUGUUCUUUUUUAGUGGAAGUAGCUUAUGGGGCAAAUACAAAUUAUAUUUGAUUUAUGUCAAAACACAUAGACAAGAGUAAAUUAAAAGCUGUGUUAUUGAUAGACAACUAUUUUCCUUUCAGGGUGCCUAAUGUCGGAGAAAAACUGCGUUAUUAAUCUAUCUUGUGCAACUACUCAUCAGUCGAUAUCUUCGGUAGACCUCUUCUGAGGCAGCUGCAUGCUCAUAAUGUCUUCUCUUUCGAGAUGAUACAUCGAUCCAGUACCCUGCUGCCCAGUUUCCGUUUGCCUACUUUCAGGUGUUGUUAGAGCCAAAAGAUGCGUAGCCUCCUUGUUUUUACGGAACACCAGAUACGCGAUUCCAGCCAAAUACAAUCCCAUACCAGAGAAUCCUAACAUUCCAAGAAAGACAAUGCCCACAACUUUGAAGUGGUUGUGAAGAAGCAACUUGAUAAAUCUACUCAUCAGGUAGUAUACAUUUAUGGCCAUCAGCAGAGAACCAAUGAUCCAAGUGAGAGCUGAAAUCUGCAAUCGGAGACAUUAAACAUGGCUGAUAAAAACGAUUUUUCAAGCUAUGGAGCAUACUACAGUUUUAGAUUGGCUUGGUGGAAAAAAACUAUUUUUCGGGAAAUUCAUAAGUGCUUUAUCUAUACAAUGCUGAAGUAUGUUAAGCAACUGACGCUCCAGAAAGCUUCCAGAAAUAAAACUAAAGGACUUGCAAUCAAAUUUAUUACAACUGACUUACCGCAGUAGAGUUGGCAUGUGUCCCCAUCUUGGUCUUGCAACUUGUGAACUUAAGAAGUGGAAUAAGAGCGAAAGGCAGCUCAAACGAUAAAAUCAUCUAUAAACAUGAAAUCAGAGUUAAGAUUUGUAGUUAGUGACAUGAGUCAACUUUAAAAUAUUAAUUAUAUGCAUUAUCCAGCUUGUUCUUGUAUAUAUGCAAUUUGAAACGAAUAAUAACAAUUCAAAAAUUUCUUAUCAGUAAAGCACAGUCCCCAAACGCAGUAUGAUAUCAAGGCAAAAUGAUGCAACAUGUUCCAUGAACCUCUAAACAAGUGAUAGACACGGACAAAUGACAUGUCCAGUAGGCCAAUAUGGAAAAGCUUCAACUUGUCCGUUGAUUUCAGGGCUCUCCAAAUGGACAUAACAGAUCCAAAUAAAAUUAUACAAUUGUCAGUUCAUUUUGAGAUCAAAUUAUGACCUUUUGCUAGUAAAGAGCUUUGUGCUUUAAAAAACACAUCUUCGCUACCAAAUAGUCACUCAACCAUUACAGAAAACAUAAGAACUUACGAAAAAUAUAAAACUUUAGUAAUACUCUGAUUCCUGGACAGGAAUAUUGGUAAAUGGGCACAGUUACAAAACUCGCUUUGCAUGAUAUAAUGUAACUAAAUUUAAGAGAAAAAUUUAAUGUGUUUUCCUACAAAAAGGUAACUUUAUGAACUCCAAUAACGUUAUGAACUCCAAGCAUUAAUUCAGAAACAAUGUGGUAAAAUUCCACUUGUGCUUCUGUCAACAGAAUCAGCCCUAUCUUUUAAGAUAGAUUUCCUAAAUGGUGCUUGAGUAAGGUUCUCAGAGUAUAAAAGCUUGACCAUACGGAGGGUUACUUGCUUAGUGUGAAAUGCUACGUCACUAUGAAGGAGGCUUUUGGCAGAGAUACCAGGUGAAGUGGAUCCUUUAAUUGACUAUACCGGUGGCAUAAACAAAGCUACUAAGAAGCCCCAUAAUAAGGUCUCUCAAGCAUGUAAUACGUUCCAUCGGAACAAACUCACAACUCAAUGGGAUAAUUUUCGUACAUCAACCAUAACUCAAUUCAUUCAAACAAUUUAUACUCAAGUAAAAUGUGUUCGAAAAAAAACACAGCAGUUUUCAGAGAAGGACAACGCAUGAUUUGGAAGUAAAAUAUAGUAUAAGGAGUUUAUCUUACUGAUGCAAUAAUAAUCAGCUUUCCAGCCCCAGAAGAACCGCCAAUGACUGCAACAAUCAAACUAGGGACUAUUGCCAAGCAUCUGGUUAAAAAGUUUCGAAGCCAUGGCUUCAGUCGUAAAUCAAGAAACCCCUUCAACAGAAAAUAAAGGAAUAUAAAGUUAAAAACACGAUGAGACACACGAAAUUUAAUUUUGCUUUUUCAAUUCACCAGUGGUACAGAGAAAUGUAUUUCUUAGAUACAAAGCAGCCAUAUAUAAGUUAAAAAAUAUUAUUACGCUUUGAACACUAAAUUUGUAUACUAAAGUUGAGUUAGAAACAAGAAUUAGGAGGGUGAUCUAGGAAUCACUCAUCGAUGACCAGUACAAAAAAUGCUAAUACAUCAGUACAGUUUUACUUGUUGACUUAUGUCAAGGAAGACCAGGACAGAGAAGUAACAGCUUAUACCCGACAACACUAACUAUAUUUGAACUCCGAGCAUGUGUAUUAAAGGGAAUGAAUGUUAUUUUUCCAGCAAGAUAUACCUGCAUAACAUAUUGCCCUGCAUAUGUUCCUGUUAUAGUAGAACUUUGACCUGAUGCAAGCAAUGCUACAGCAAAAAGCUUGGAACUCCAACUACCUAAAACAUUCUGUAAAUAAAAAUUAUAAAACAUCAGGAUGAAAGUGACCUCUAAAUUUGGGAUAUAGCAAAUUUUAACAUAACAUAUGAUAACCAAUACAGGACGUACUCUUAGUAAAAAGGAGGCUUUAUUCAAAUCCAAGUCCUGGCAGUUCAUCUUAUCUUCAGCAUUCAAAUCUGGGGAAUUGCAAACUGCACCACUUACAGAAAUAACGGAUACAUUUAUUAGGAAUGCCACCAUGAGAGCAAAGCCACUUUCUAUCAUAUAAAAUCUGCAUGCUUCCUGCAAACAAAAUCUUUUGUCAGAUAUAAUUUCUUAGUAUGUUCAGCCAUAUUCUAAGAACACUAUGCUAGGGGACAAAUCGAGAUAAUCUUGCCUACAUAAGUCUUUUCAGAGGUGAUUUCAAUAAAUUAUCCAAGAACCCAUAAAGUAAAGGGGGAAGAAAGAGAAGUCGCUUAGCGGGAACAGGGGAUUGAAACUCUUCUAUGCUAACUUUUGUUUUUAUUUUUUCAACAAAGUAUGCAACAAACUUCUCAUAAGUCAUAACGCAAGAAAUUAAAACCAGUAACGGAAAUUAAUUACUUUGAUGCCACGGACAGAUCGUGGUAUUUUCCUAGAAAGCACCAAUGCAGAGUGGAGGAAGAGAUUGUGCCUGUAGCAAGUACCUAAAGCUGCUGAGCAGAAAGAACUAAACAAAACAAACCAGUAAUGAAUAUAUGAAGUCACUAGAAACCUACGGCAUAACCAUAGCACCAAGAAGAGAAAUUGCAAGACCAGUAGCACCAUUUCCUUUGAGUUGGGGAACAAAAAGCCCGCCCAAAACUUCAGUAGCGUCAGGUUUUGCGUAGCCAAGCUCAGCAAAGAAGCAUCCAGCAAUUGUGAGUACAAGGAAUGCGAUCAAGAAUUCAAGUUUCCUAACCUGUAAAUGAAAAAAUCUUUGGGUAGCUUAUUUUAAAUUGUAGGCAUGGAAACCAAAGAUCUCCAAGACUCCAGAAAUAUAAAAAUCAUAUUUACCCCAUAUUGCUGUAAUGCCAGAAGAAUCAAUGUACUAAGUCCUGUCAGAAGUACGCCAAUCCAUAUGGGUAUGUUGAAGAGCAUGUUCAAUGCAAAGGCAGUUCCAAUCACUGGUAAGGAAGAUCAGUCAGAACGAAAUGAAUAAGCACAUAUCUUAUCAACUCGCCACUAUUAAUGGAAAGAUGAUGUGAUACCUCAUUAUCUUCAUAUCUUAUCAAAAUAAUCAAAAUUAUUUAUAAACAAGGAAAUCAUGGAUGUACAUAUGUGGAUCCACAAACAUAUAUAUUUUUCUGUUAAUAAUCCCGAAUCUGAAUUCUUAUAUCCAAAAUAAAUAAAUAAAUAAAAACAAAUUUGUUGGCUCCUAAAAAGCACAUGUAAGCAAAAGUACUACAGAGCAAAAUCACUUCCUACAUUAGCAAUAGAGAAAAGGCGCGUGAGACAGCUAAACUAGUUCUACCUUUAACGUUUAUCAAAACCUUCUAAACAUACAAAAUAAAACAUAAUUAGAAAACUUAACUGCUUCUAUUCUGACUGAAUUUAUACCAACAUAUUUUUUUGUGAAGAAGAAACAAUUUUUUAUUGCAAAGAAACAAUAAAAAAUACAAGAGCCGACAAGAAGUCUGCAAAGGCACAAACAAAACAAGAUAAAUAGCACCAUCACCUUGACAUUUAGAAACUAUAAAAACAACACAAAACUAACUAACAGCCACAUUCCAGUUACGCCAAAUUUCUGAAAAAGACAAAUCUUUAAAUUCUGUAGUAACCGAAGCCCACAGAGAUGACAAUAACCAAACUUUAUACCAACAUCUGAGAAGCAAAAAUUACCUUCAGGAAUGUCACAUGCAACUAUAGAAAUCUCAGCAAGAACCCAAAGAAUGAAGUUUGUUACUCUAGGAUAUUCCGCUCUACAGUGCUCUGCCAAAUGCUUUCCUACAAAUUAGAAAAACAUUUUAUAAGAAAUGCAGAGAAAAAAUAUUGUCAGAAGAAUUUACAAAAAGAUACUUAUAAAAUCACAUGCCUGUGACCACCCCAAGAUUGGCUGCAAGGGACUGAAUGACGAGAGCAGCACAUGAAGCAACUAAUAUUAUCCAGAGUAGCUACAAAAAGAGAUUUUCUCAGAACUGUUAUCAUCAAUUUUUGUGGCUUACUUCACCCUUUAGUUUCAAGAAAAUAAUUUGGAAACUAAGCCAGUGAGUAGAUGAUAUCUCUAACUAGUAUGUAGUUUUUAGAUUGAUGAGGUGGCUCAUAGGAUAGAAUGAAAACAUUACAUUCCAGAGAUUCAGGACAUGACCUAAAACUUAACAAAAUGCAAUUUCAAAAUGUUCCAUUCCGGAUCCUCUCAAAGAUGCUAAAAUUAUCUAAUUUCAAAGGCAAAAACACUGCAUUAAUGAUAUACACACCCCAUACUUGUACUGCGCCCCUGACUGCAAAUCCGUCUCAACUGUAAACCAACCACAAAACAUGAGGUUAUGUUCAAGAGAACAAAAAAAAAUGUAGAAGCAUGAAGUAAAUAAUAAGUUAUGAUCUCACAAUUUCCAGGAUCUAUAUACGCAAUUGAAACAAGAAACCCUGGACCCAUGUAGGCAAAGAGAUUUUUCCAGCUUGUCUUCUGCAUGAACAAAAUGUUGAUGGUCAUCUAUCAAGGAAUUCAAUUUGAACAUUUAUUAUCCCAAACUUGCCUCCUAUCAGCAAUAAAUCAAGAAACAUAAACUAAUAAAUAGACCAUGUCAGACAAGCAUAUUGCGUUCUAAGCAGAAAUUCAGUUGGCAUAGACCGACCUAUUCAUAUGGACAAUAUAGAGUACAGUAAGAGUAACUCUUUCAGUCUAUCAUCCACCAGAAGACCCAUCUUCAGGUGAACUUCGCAUUUUAUAUGAAUCCAUGCGCCAUUUACCACACAAUUUCAAUUUAUUAAUUACAGUAAUCUCCUAAUCUAACUAACGUAGCUUUGUUGUCUAUGAUCAGCAUCAGGAUACGCCAAUGAUUCUUUCAGCUGAUGUAACCACGCAUUGCUUAUUCAAACAACAGAGUUGCUUCUAGUUUGACAAAAGAUUUUUUUGUAUUUUCAAUAGCACCAUGGUCAAGGACUUCUACAAGGUUUACACUGUUAAUGACCCACUUUCUUUAGAAUGUUUUCAGUCAUCCCACCAAUUCCAAUUAGAAUUUCUCAGACACCUCUCCAAUUUCACCCAGUAGUACUGUACAAUUAACAGAAGGAGAAGCAACCCCAACAUGCCCUGCAUUCCUCUCCACUUAGAUGGUGAUGUAUCGAUAAAAAACUCCCAUGUUUGUCAUUCUUCAUUUCCAAACACAACACGAAACAUCCUUUCUCUGCUUGGAGCAAAUCCCAUUUUGACCUUAUGGUUUGUUCAGCAUAGUUAAAUAAUUACCAAACACAACACGAAACAUGAUUUGUUCAGCGUAGUUAUACAAUUACCAAGAAAGCACAAAAAAUAAAUUCCCCUACAGAUAAUGGAAAUUCAUAUAAUAAUAGAAUCAUAGAUAGAAGUCAAGUGUUUAGUUUCAGCCAAUGCUUAUUGCAACCAAUUUGGAGUUGCUUAUACCCAUCUUGUUUUACUUUGAAUGCAAUAAACAGAUUGCAGUGCUUAUGGAAUGCAAUAAACAACAACAAUAUAUACUAAGAUCAAAACAAAAUGCAUAGAUAUGACAAUUAGAACAUGAAACUCACAUCAGGAACAACAAUUUGUUCAGUAUCUGUGUCCUCAAUGAGCGGUGCAUUAGAGAAGCUUCGGUUUCCAGUGCUUGCAAUGAACUGUGGCUGCGCAGAAGCCGUACUGGCCACAGCCAUUUUUUCCACCCUUUACUUUACCACUACUGUAACAAAAGAAAAAAAGCUUCCAUCAUGGUGAAGCAAAUUCAUAUUACAGCAUUUCCAAGUUUCAACCUAAAGAAUUGGGUGAACUUGCAGAUAAAAUAUUAAUUACAGCAAAUUCAAGAAUUCUUUUUUUUUUUUGGUAAAUAAACUAAUUCAAGAAUUGGGUUCACUUGAAGGUAACAUAUUUAUUACAAAACUGAUAAGUAAUGGGAAAUUUACACUCUCUUCGGUGCUAAAAACGCUGCAAAAGAGUAAGCAACUUUGAAUGGAUUUCUCAGGAUUUUGCUGAUGCUCCAGUAGAGAAUGAAAACAAAAAGAAGAAAUAGGUUAUGGUACUAAGCUCAGUAAAAGUAAGAAACUGAGAAUUCGGAUCCCAUAUCAAUGAAAAAUCAUACGGAUUAAAAACCAAAACUUCAUCAUUUCUUCGAAUACUUGGUGGGCAACCAAAGAAAACAGAUAAAAAUAGCAAUAUCCUGGAUUGGAGUCUUUGUUUCUGGAGAAUGACUGGAAACAACAGGUCACAGCAUAUAGAGCAGAACCCUAAUGGACUUACUUAACUUGCAGGAACAGAAACUCAACUGUUUCUGUCAACUGGGAGAAAAUGGGGUCAGUAGCAGUAGCUGAAGAGCUCUAUCCCCGGAGAGCUCUUCUUAUAGGACACACUUGAUACUCUCUCUUUCUCUCUCUCUCUCUCUAAAUAUCGCUUUCACGCAUAGGGUUGGACUUAUUCUGUUCUGACAAAGAGUGUUUUGUAUCGGAUCCCACCAAUAGGAGAAAAGUGGCUACGUGUUGCGGGAGAAAAACCAUAACACGAGCGUGAGUUUGACAUCAGAUUUGACUUCUUAAUUAAAAAUGUUAUCGCAGUCUUAUUUUACCGUUAUUGUUUAUUUAGAUAUUUUGAUAUUUCCUUUAAAAAUGCUUUUAAACAAAUUAUUUCAAAUUAAACUAACUUCUAAGACUAAGUUGAACUGAAAUGGCUUGAACUAAAUAUGAUAAAAAUAUUGAAGUGUUUGUUGAUGUACCCGACUAAACUACAUAUUACAAUAUUUUUAGGACUUAAAUUAUAUUUUUAUUACUGUGGUGGAAAGAAGUUGAGUCAUUGCAUGACAAUGUGAGUUCAAACUCCGUCAAUAACUAAUCUAACAAAAUAUAUCGUUAAACAAAAAAAUUUAUUUUUGGUUUUUUUAUUAGCACUCCACAUAAUAUUGAAUGCACCCCAUAUUAAAAUUUAAUAUUAAAUGACUUGUGUUCCCUAAUGUGGAAUGACAAUUUCAACCUUACUAGAUUCUAAAUACACCCAAAAUCACUUAAUGUAUUAUUUAUCUUCUUUAACUAUCAAAACUCAUUUCCACCUUCCGUUGUUAAAUAAAACCCUAACUAACGAAACUACAACAUGUUGCUUGAGAAAAAUUAUUUUUGACGAAUGGAACACAAAAUCGAUGUUCAGAAGUUUCACAUGAGGUAAACCGAAAGUGUGAGAGAAUCAUUUGGAGAAUACAUCUCGAGAAAAUGACAAGUAUUGACGAAUAUUAUAUAUUGAAAUAGAGCCAAAUAAUCUGGUCUUUUCAGCCAUAUAUACUGGUUAAAUUGGGAACACAAUGGCACAAUAACAUACCUAAAAAAGAUGACAAAAGUAGAAGAAGAAAGAUUUCCAAUCAGAAUUAUGAAAUCUUUGUUAAUAGAAAAAUAACACACAAGCUUAGACAAAUGAAAAUGGACGCACUUUAAAGAAUGUAAUCCUCCCUCCUGGACAGAGAGCCUUUAAGAUAUUUACAGGUCCAUACAUCUUAUAAUUUACCCACAAAUUUGGAGGAACGAUUCAAUCUCAUUUUCUGCCCCAUGGAAAGCAGCAACUCUGCAAAAUUUCUGUCCAAAAAAGAAAAUGAAAUGAAAUAUAAAAACUAGUGUUUGUAUGAAUAUGUGGGGUGUAUAGAGAAUGUGGGGGUGUAUAUAGAAAAUGUAAGGUGUAUGUUGAGAAUGUGGGGUGUGAGGGUAUUAUGAGGAAGUUUAUGGGGUGUAUUUAUAUAAUUUUUAAUUGAAAAAGCAAAUGUAGGGUGUAUUAAGUGUGUGAGGUUUAUUCAACAAUUUGUGAGGUGUUAAUAUAAUAAGCCUUUUUUUUUUUUACCAUUUUUAAUUUACUUUUGCCUUAAAGAACAAAAAUUAAACGGUAAAAUUAUUAUUUUGUAACUUUUUGCAAUUCCAUUAAAAAAUCUAGGGUUAAUCUCAGUUUACUACCUUGAAGUUUCGUGGUUUUCAACAUUUGGUAUAUGAAGUUUUUUUCAUCCCAAAGUCAUACCUCAAGUCUUAAUUUUAGGAUUGUUUCAUACAUCCGUUAAGUUAGUUGUUAACCCGUUAACUGAUGAUGUGGUGUCCAUGUGGACAAUGAUUGUGCAUCAUGUGUCAAUAUAGGCCCAUGUAGAUAUUAAAAAUUUAAAAAAAUUAAAAACUUAAAAAAAAUAUAAAUAAAGGUAAAAAAACUAAACAAAUAAAAAAUGAUCUAGGAAUGCGGGCCUUCCCUUUCCUCCACCCACACCAACCCUUUUUCUUUUUCUCUUCGACAACCACCUGAUCUGAAAAUCAUGGAAAGGCUUCUGUCCUUUUCACCCCAAGCCCUUUGAAACUCCAUCUAAAACCCUCUCCUUUCCUCAGUUGACUCACCCGUAUUGACUAAGCCAAACUCGGUUUUCCCGAUUUACAACUACCCAAUCUCAGAUGGGUCCGCUUGAGGACAAUGAUUGGGUUAAUCUCUUCAUAUCUUUAAUUCAAAGCCCCACCACUAUGCGUUUUUGCUUGUGGCGCUGCUAUGACAAGUCCAUAGUUGCCAAAACGUGGAACUGAGGAAAAGCCCAAAAAAAUUGGGGGUUGGAGAAUAAUUUGUGGGUUUUACAGAUAUGCUACUGGGUUUUAUGGAAUUUGUGAACUUUUAGGGGUUUUAGAGAAAGAGAGAGAAAUAGAGAGAGAAAGAAAGAGAGAAGAAAGAGAGAGAGAGAGUAUAAGAGCGGCUGAUGGUGGAUGAGGUGUGGAAUGGGUAAGGCUGGUGGUGAUGGUUGAUUAAAGGCUGGUUUGAUACUGCUGUGCUUUGAAAAAAAAAAAACUACUUAUGUUGUGUUGUGAGAAUAAGCAGAUGUGAAAUAAAGCAGCAGAGUGUUUGGUAAACUUUUUUGUAAAAGUGAUUUUGAAAAAAAAAAAGCAGUAUUAUAGUGUUUGGUAAACUUUUAUGUAAAACAGAUGUGAAAAUAGCCGAUUUUUCAAAACUGGGUUUUGUAGCUUCUUGUUUUUGGCUUUUAUUUUCAUCCAAAAUUGUGAAAAAAAGCUGAAGCUGAAUGUUUACCAAACAUAAAAACAGCUCUCAGCUUUUUUUGAUACCAACUUUUUUUUUCAGAAUCACCUCAGUACCAAACCAGGCCUAAGAGGUGUGAUUAGUAGGGAUUUUGGCAAGAAGAAGAAUUGGGGUGACUGAAAUAAUUGGAGAGAGUGAGUCAAACAGAAAGGAUAAGAGAAAAAGAUUAUUUUUUUUAAUAUUUAUGUGGGCUCAUAUUGACACGUGACGCAUAGUCAUUGUCCACAUGGGCACUAAGUCAUCAGUUAACGACUGACUUAAUAGUUAAUUUAACGGAUGUAUGAAACUGUCACAAAAUUAAAACUUGAGGUAUGACUCUGGGAUGAAAAAAAACUUCAUGUACCAAAUGUGGAAAACCACGAAACUUCAGGGUAGUAAACUGAGAUUAACCCAAAAAUCUAAUUUCUUCCACUAACAGAAUUCGAUGCAUUUCCCUUCCCGUCUUUUCUCACUAUGCAAAACCGACUCUUUUUUUCAUUCAAUCUCUCUCUCCCUCCCUUUUCCUUCCACAACUUCAUCAAUUGCAAAUCUUCAAAAUCAAACCAUAGAGCAAGAAAGAGAUUCAAAAUUUAAGAGUUGGGAGCCGGUUGCAUGUGUGAUUGGCUCAAGGGUAGGAGAUAGGGGUUGGAUCUGGUUGGGUGCAUGUGUAAUUGAAAAUUUCAAACUCAUCCCAUUGUAGGAUUGUUUCUUUUUUUUCUUUUGUUUUUUGGGUUUUCUGGGAUCCUGGUUUGAAUUUUGGGGCUGGAUCUGGUUUUGAAAAUGGAACGAUUGUAGAUUUUUAUGCUAUUUUGUUUCGAUUUUGCCAGAUUUGGGCUUGAAAAUGGUUGUAGUUGCAGAGGCUCCACGGAGGGAUUAUGAAGCCUUUUCUCAUGGCUUCGCAAGUACAAUAAGAAGAAGAUGAUUUGUAGAAAGUGCUAUACUGUCUGCAUCCAAAGGCAUUGAACUGUAGGAAGAAGAAGUGUGGGACGAUGCGAGCAGGUUUUCUAGGACCCUAGCUAAGAACCUCUAGGGACAUCCUCACAGUUGGACGACGGAAAUAAAUUGAAAUUUGAAUAAAAGUUAGAAUUUAUAAAUUAACAUGCAACAAUUUUUUUACUUAGAUUCAUAAAUAUAGAAAAUUAAUUUCCGUGUGGAAAAAUAAUUGAAAUUUGAGACCAUCAACUCUCAAGUUUAAAUUUCAUGCAAAUAUAUGUCAUUUCUUAAUUUAUAUGAUUGAGAGUUUAAAAAUACAAAUUUCGUAUUCAAUUCUAUUGUUCUUUUAGGUUAAUCAAACAAGACAAUUCACAAAUUCUAAAAAAUAAAAUUCAGUCAUUUUACUUUCCGUCAUUUUCAAAUUUCUUAGUAAUCUUAAAUUUUGUCAUCCAAACAUAGUAUUAAUCUAGGCGUGUCAUGCUUCAUCUUAUUAAUGUUAGUCUUGCUUAAUCUCGUUAAUGUUAGUUCCGCAUGAUAACAAAUGUUGGACUACAAUAACAAUUAGUAAAGGCUAACCUAACGAAACUUAGAGAAGCCAAACAAACGGCCUCCCCCGUUAUUGAAAAACGACUAGUUACAAAGAAUUCAAUUUGAACCUUCCAAUCUUUUGUAAAGAAAUAUAAAAAAGAAAAGAAGCCUUUGUCUAAGAAACAAAAAAAGUCUUUGGUUGUGAUGAUGGUAAAGAACAUAGAGGUUGAAAUAAAGUGAGAAAGAAAAUAAAUUAACUUAAUCAAAGAAUGGAUAAACAACAAAUGUAACAUAUUAUUCUGGACUUUUAUGGGUGUGUUUGUUUGGACUCAUUAUCUUUCACUGGACUAGAUUGGACUAAGUUUUAGUCCAGUCUUGUGUUUGUUUCCUACUUAGACUAAGUUUAGUGGGAUUAGCAAGGACUCACCUCGACUGAGUCCCUCGCUAACAGGUCUUAGCGAGACCUCCCGAUUCAGAGAAGACUGCUAAGUCGCUCUCUAAUCUCGUCAUCUCCCUUCUCCUUUGUACCUUCACACAUCAACCGCAACAACUACAGCUUACUCCCUCGUUGCCUUCGCACCUUCACCCUUUCCCUUUUCCUUGCUUAUUGCACCACCUUGUAGCCAUACAACAUAUAAAAAAUCGAUGACAAACCUGUAUUGCUGGCGAUGGUCUUUGUUUGGUGCUUUUUGCUGCGUCGUGAAAUCAGAGUCCCAACAACAGAAGGAAAAGAAGAUGAAUAAGUCUGCGUUGGACUUCGGUGCCCUACUUUCUGAUUUCUAAAUUCGUUUGGAUUUUUUGGUUUUUCAUGUCGAUCUCUAUUGAAUUGUAGUUGGGUUAAGAUGCUUGACGGACUCAGAGGUGUUUGAACUCUAAAUACCUUUUCUACAUAAUAUUGAUUUCUUAAUUUUCAUUUGCUGGGUUAAUGGACUGGAUUGCCAUCUUACUAUGUGUAAUUUAGAUUUUGCUUCAUUUGAAAUUUACAACUCUAAUUGGGUCAGGUUUUCGGAAUAUCUUUCGUUUUCAUUUUUUCGUGUUGAAUUUCAAUGAAUUGGUCACAUCUCGGCCCUGGCCCCCACCUCAUCUCGGGCUUGACUCCACCGUAGCACGAUAUUGUCCGCUUUGGGCCCCGACCACUCACAUGAGAACUUCCCAGUGGGUCACCCAUCAUGGGAUUGCUCUCGCCUAAACUCGUUUAACUUUGGAGUUCCGAUGGAACUCGAAGCCAGUGAGUUCCCAAAAGGCCUCAUGCUAGGUAGAGAUGAGAAUAUACAUAUAAGGCUUACAGGAUCCUCACCCCUGGGCGAUGUGGGAUCUUACAAUCCACCCCUUUAGGGGCGGGCCCAACGUCCUUGUCAGCACAUAUCCGGCCAGUUAUUGGCUCUGAUACCAAAUUGUCACAUCCCAGGCUUGACUCCACUGUAGCACGAUAUUGUCUGCUUUGGGCCCCGAUUACAUCUUCACGGUUUUGUUUAUGGGAACUCACACAAGAACUUUCCAUUGGGUCACCCAUCAUGGGAUUGCUCUUGCCCAAACUUGCUUAACUAGAACCCGAAGCUAGUGAGCUCUCAAAAGGCCUCAUGCUAGGUAGACAUGGGAAUAUACAUAUAAGUCUUACAGGAUCCUCAUCCCUGGGCGAUGUGGGAUCUUACAUAAUUUCUUUCAUAUUUGAGAAAUUUCCUUCAGAUUUGGGAAAUUUCCAUCUUGUCAUUCGUUUCUUUGAUCUUUGAAGGUUUUUUAUUUAUUUAUUUUUUCCUAAUAUGAUGUUGGUAUGAAUCUUUGGAGCAUAAAAGUUUGUGUGAAUUUAUUGAUUUGGAUGUUGAAAUAAAUCUUUGAAGGAUUUUUUCUGAUAACAUACUUAUGUUGGUUUAUUGGUAAGAGCAAAUCGUAAUUCUGAUUUGGUCAAUACAUACUUAUGCUGACAUUCAAUUAACAUAAUCAUUAGCCUUUAUGCACACGCUCACGUGCGUGUAGAAGAUAUUUUUUGAAUCACGGCAUGCUACACACAAUUUAAACGUUUUAAAUAUAUUUAUAUGCGUAAAUUGACAAAAGGAAAAUCAAAUAUUUGAAGUAAAUGAAUAAUCUUAUAUCAUGUUAGAAGAAAACCCUCACAAACCAAUUAAAAUAGCUGAAUUCACAUAAUAAAAUUGGUCUCUAUAGAAUUUACAUUAAUAAUAGAGAAAAUAAUAUUUAAUAAACAAUUCAUUGAAUCACAUUACCACCCCUUCUCUCUUAGUGUAGAUAAUCUCGUUCGUUAAAAAAAAUCAUUUGACAAUUAAUUUAAUCACAUUAUUAUCCGCAUGCUAAAGACCUUUUUAUAACUGGCAUUAUAUGCCUCUUAAGAUGUUUUGAACGUGUUUUAAAAUAAACAAAUUGAAUCACACUAUUACUAACUCAUUGUGAGGUACUAAUUAAAAAUAAAAAUAGGACAAAAAAAACUAAUUAAAAUGAUGAAGACAUUUUUUGAAUCACCGCGUGCUACGUGCGACUUACACGUUUUAAAUGUAUUUAUAUGCGUAAAUUGAAAAUAAAAAAAACACAAUCACUUGACAACUAAUUUAAUCACAUUAUUAUCCGCGAGCGAAAGACCUUUUUUAUAAUCGGCAUUAUAUGCCUCUUAAGAUGUUUUGAAUGUGUUUAAAAAUAGAGAAAAUAAUAUUUAAUAAACUACUGACUGAAUCUUAUUAUUGCUAGCCCAUUGUGAGGUUAAGCCCACUCCCUCCCCCUUAGUGUAGAUAAUAUUGUUUGUUAAAAAAAACAAUCAUUUGAUAACUAAUUUAAUUAUAUUAUUAUCCGUGUGCGAAUAACCUUUUUUUAUAAUCGGCAUUAUGCGCUUUUUAAGAUGUUUUGAACUUGUUUAAAAAUAGAGAAAUUGAAUCACAUUAUUACUUGCCUAUUGUGAGGUACUAAUAAAAAAAACCACGAGAAAAUUAAUUACUAAAAAAUACUGUUGAAAUGAUGAAAAUGCCCCUGCCUUAUUGAUGCAUUAUUUUAGGAUGUUUUUGAAGUUUUUUGUCUUGGGGGCAUUUUUGUUCAAAUAUUUUUGUUGAAGCUUGGUGACACCAAAAUUACUAUUCACGUUAAAAUAGAGAAAUUGAAUCACAUUAUUACUAGCUAUUGUGAGGUAUUAAUUAAAAAAAAUAGCACAAAAAAACUAAUUAAAAUGACGAAGACACUUUUUGAAUCACUGCGUGUUAUGGGCAAUUUACAUGUUUUAAAUGUAUUUAUAUGUGUAAAUUGACAAAAGGAAAGUCAAAUAUUUGAAGUAAAUGAAUAAUCUUAAAUCAUGCUAGAAGAAACCUCACAUAAACCAAUUAAAGUAGCUGAAUGCAUAUAAAAAAAUUGGUCUAUAUAGAAUUUACAUUAAGAAUAGAGGAAAUAAUAUUUAAUAAAUAAUUGAUUGAAUCACAUUAUUGCUAACCUAUUGUGAGGCUAAUCUCAUCCCCUCCCACUUAGUGUAGAUAAUAUCGUUUGUUAAAAAAAAAAAUCAUUUGACAACUAAUUUAAUUACAUUAUUAUCCGAGUGUGAAAGUGUUUUUUUAUAACAGCAUUACACGCCUCAUAAGAUGUUUUGAAUGUGUUUAAAAAUAGAGAAAAUAAUAUUUAAUAAACAACUGAUUCAAUUACAUUAUUGCUAACCCAUUGUGAGGCUAAGCCCACUCUCUUCCCUUAGUGUAGAUAAAAUCGUUUGUUAAAAAAAAUCAUUUGACAACUAAUUUAAUCAUAUUAUUAUUCGCGUGCGAUAGACCUUUUUUAUAACAGGCAUUACAUGCCUUUUAAGAUGUUUUGAACGUGUAUAUGUGACAUCCCACAUAACCCAGGGGAGUGGAUUUUGUAAGCCUUAUAUGUAUAUUCCCAUCUCUACCUAGCACGAGGCAUUUUGAUAGCUCACUGGCCUCGGGUUCCAUCAAAACUCUGAAGUUAAACGAGUUCGCACGAGAGCAAUCCCAUGAUGGGUGACUUAAUUGGAAGUUCUCCUGUGAGUUCCCAAAAACAAAACCAUGAAGGCGUAGUCGGGGCACAAAGCGGACAAUAUUAUGCUACAGUGGAGUCGAGCCCGGGAUGUGGUGGGGGCCCAAGCCGGAUUGUGACAGUUUGGUAUCAAAGCCAAUUCUUGGCUGGAUGUGUGCCGACGAGGAUGUUGGGCCCCUAAGGGGGGUGGAUUGUGACAUACCACAUCGCCCAGAGGAGUGGAUCCUGUAAGCCUUAUAUGUAUAUUACCAUCUCUACCUAGCACGAUGCCUUUUGGAAGCUCACUGGCUUCUGGUUCCAUCAGAACUCUGAAGUUAAGCGAGUUCGUGCGAGAGCAAUCCCAUGAUGGGUGACCCACUAGGAAGUUCUCGUGUGAGUUCCCAAAAACAAAAUCGUGAGGACAUAGUCAGGGCCCAAAACGGACAAUAUUAUGCUACGGUUGAGUCGAGCCCUGGAUGUGGUAGGGUCUCAGGCCGGGAUAUUGUCUAGGGAUGAGGAUUUUGUAAGCCUUAUAUGUAUAUUCCCAUCUUUACCUAACACGAGGCCUUUUGGGAGCUCACUGGCUUCGAGUUCUGUAGGAACUUCGAAGUUAAAUGAGUUUGCGCGAGAGUAAUCACAGGAUGAGUGACCCAUUGGGAAGUUCUCGUGUGAGUUCCUAGAAACAAAACCGUGAGGAUGUGGUCGGGGCCUAAAGCGGACAAUAUCGUGCUACGACGGAUUCGAGCUCGGGAUGUGGUGGGGGCUCGGGCCGGGAUGUAACAAUUUGGUAUCAGAGACAAUCCCUCGCCGGAAGUGUGCCGACGAGGAUGUCAGGCUCCUAAAGGGGGUGGAUUGUAAGAUCCCACAUCGCCCAGGGAUGAGGAUCCUGUAAGCCUAUAUGUAUAUUCUCAUCUUUACCUAGCACGAGGCUUUUUGGGAGCUCACUGGCUUCAGGUUCUGUAGGAACUCCGAAGUUAAGCGAGUUCACCGAGAAUAAUCCCAAGAUGGGUGACCCACUGGGAAGUUCUCGUGUGAGUUCCCAGAAACAAAACCAUGAGGGCGUGGUCAGGGCCCACAUCGGACAAUAUCGUGCUACAGUGAAGUCGAGCCCGGGAUGUGGUGAAGUCCGGGCUGGAUGUGACAAUAUAAAAUAGAGAAAAUAAUAUUUUAUAAACAACUGAUUGAAUCACAUUAUUGCUAAUCUAUUAUGAGGGUAGGAUAAUAUCAUUUGUUAAAAAAAACAAUUAUUUGACAACUAAUUUAAUCACAUUAUUAUCUACAUGCGAAAGACCUUUUUUAUAACCGGCAUUACACGUCUCUUAAGAUGUUUUGAAUGUGUUUAAAAAUAGAAAAAUUAAAUCAUAUUAUUGCUAGCUUAUUAUAAAUUAAAUCAUUUUUGUCCAAAUUUUUUUGUUGAAGUUUGGUGACACCAAAAUCACUAUUUACCUUUCCAUUGGCUUUAUAUCUAGAUUAGCCUUCAUGCACGCGCGUGACAUUUUUUUAAUCAUGGCGUGCUACACACGAAUUACACAUUUUAAAUGUAUUUAUAUACGUAAAUUGACAAAAAAGAAAGUCAAAUAUUUGAAGUAAAUGAUAAAUUUUACAUCAUACUAGAAGAAACCCCUCAUAAAUCAAUUAAAACAGCUGAAUUCACAUCAUAAAAUCGGUCUCUAUAGAAUUUACAUUAAGAAUUGAGAAAAUAAUAUUUAAUAAACAAUUGAUUGGAUCACAUUAUUGCUAGCCCAUUGUGAAGCUAAGUCCACCUCUCCCAUUUAGUGUAGAUAAUAUCGUUUGUUAAAAAUAAAAAAAAAUUAAUUUACAACUAAUUUAAUCACAUUAUUAUCCGCAUGCGAAAGACCUUUUUUAUAAUCGACAUUACAUGUCUCUUAAGAUGUUUUGAACGUGUUUAAAAAUAGAGAAAAUAAUAUUUAAUAAACAACUGAUUGAAUCACAUUAUUGAUAGCCUAUUAUGAGGCUAAGCCUACCCCAUCCCCAUUAGUAUAGAUAAUAUUGUUUGUUAAAAAGAAAUCAUCAUUUGACAACUAAUUUAAUCACAUUAUUAUCCAUGUGUGAAAAUGUUUUUUUAUAACCGGCAUUACACGUCUUUUAAGACCAUGCACCAUAUUCUUAGCAGUGUAUGUAUUCCUUUAUUUAAAAAAUAAAGGCUAAAUAGCCAAAAUGGUCAUUGAGAUUUGCAUAACUCAUCACUUUGGUCCAUAACAUUUCAAAUCAAUAAAAGUGGUCCUUGAGAUUGUCCACCAUCCAUCAUUUUGGUCAUUCUGUUAAAAACUUUGUUAAGUGUCCAUGAGCUCUUGGCCGGAAGUUUGGGCAAUUUUCAAAGCUUCGUAACUCAAUCGUUUCUUAACCAAAUUCGACCCAUAAUAUAUCAAAAUGAAGAUAGGAAAGUGUAGAAUAAUAUUAUACCUAUUUGGAAGCCUAAUGGUUGCCAGAGAUGGCCGAAAAAUAGCCUCAAAGUUGACUGGUCCGAGGGAAAAUUUGAAAACUCGUCGGAAACUGAGUAAACUUUAAAUGUUCAUAACUUCUUCAAUACUCAAUGAAAUCAAGUGAUUCAAAAAUAAAAAUCAUACAUCUCAAUGAGACAAAGAGAAUGGUAACUUUUUGAACGGCUAACUCGCUGUGGUUUAGCUGAAAAUAGCUCGAAAGUGGCUGUCUUGGUAUCAAGUUAGCCACUUUUGAGGCAUUUUUUUGCCAAACCAUGGUGAUUUAGCUGUCUAAAAAGGUACCAUUCUCUUCAUCUCGUUGAGAAGUAUGAUUUUCAUUUUUUAAUCACUUGAUUUUGUUGAGUAUUGAAGAAGUUAUGAAUGUUUAAAGUUUACCCAGUUUUCCGGUGAGUUUUCCAGUUUUCCCUCAGAUCAGUCAACUUUGAGGCUGUUUUCAGGCCAUCUCUGGCAGCCAUUAGGCUUUCAAAUAGAUAUAAUCUUAUUCUACACUUUCCUAUCUUCAUUUUGAUAUAUUAUGGGUCAAAUUUGGUUAAGAAACGAUUGAGUUACGAAACUUUGACAAUUGCCCAAACUUUGGCCAAUAGCUCUGGGACACUUAACGGAAUGACCAAAAUGAUGCACGGUGGGCAAUCUCAGGGACCACUUUGGCUAUUUAACCAAAAAUAAAAAAUAAAAAUCCUAACAUACUAUCCUCUCCCUUAGUGUAAAUAAUAUUGUUUGUUAAAAAAAAUCAUUGGACAACUAAUUUAAUCACAUUAUUAUCUGCAAAAGACCUUUUUUUUUAAUAAUUGAUAUUAUACGCAUCUUAAGAUGUUUUGAAUGUGUUUAGAAAUAUAAAAUUGAAUCAUAUUAUUGCUAGCCUAUUAUAAGGCACUAAUUUUAAAAAAAUUAAUUAUUAAAAAGAUCUUUUCAAAAGAUGAAAAUACCCCUGCCUUAUUUGAUGCAUUAUUUUGGAAUACCUUUGAAGUUUUUUAUCUUGGGGGCAUUUUUGUCCAAAUAUUUUUGUUGAAGCUUGGUGACACAAAAAUCACUAUUCACUUUUCCAUUCUAUUUGUAUAUAGAUAUUAUUAGAAAACGUGCCUGCGCAUUACUGCAGACACUAAAUGUAAUAUUUAGAAUAGGCAUGACUAAUUUUCACACAAAGUAAGCAAAAAGAUGGUAGGAUUGAAGUGACAUUCUCAAAUGCAACGAUGAAGAUAACAAAUAUUUGACCUAAGAAAAUGCACAACAAUAUUCAAAUAAUUUAAAUAAGCAACAGAUGGGUGAAUUGGGCUGUUAUAUUCAGCAAUUUGGUUUUUAUAUAAAUUCCAUUCAGUUUAGAUGAAGAUGAUCAUAUAAUUGUUCACACCCAUUAUAACAUCUUAUAUUUUACUUACACCCAACAAAUUAUUCAUUUUUUUUCUGCCCUUACAUGUGGUUCAACAAUGGAAAAGUUCAAAGUUCAAAGUUUCAACAGUGGCUAAAAAUGGAAUGAAAUCAUAUUAUUAGUCAAUUAUAUAUAUGAGAUUACAAUUUUAUUUGUCAAAUACAUAAUACACAAACUCACUUUGGUUGGGUGGAUGAUUUGAAAAAUUGUCGAACAUUAAUAGUUUCCAAUGUGAAUCAUAUUUGCAAUGAUUAAAGUUCUAAAUUUUUUUGAGAGUGUGAUAUGCUGGCUUACCUCAACUUUGGUGUCUUCAAUAUUUAAGUCAGCAGAAAUGAUUUUUGAUCCUCGACACUGAAUGUAAUAUUUUGAAUAGGCAUGACUAAUUUCCACACAAAGUAAGCAAAAAGGUGGUAGGAUCGAAAUGACAUUUUCAAAUGCAAUGAUGAUGAUAACAAAUAUUUGACCUAAGUAAAUGCACAAAAUCAUGAAUCAACACAACAAUCUUCAAAUAAUUUAAAUAAACAACAGAUGGGUGAACUGGGCUGUUAAAUUCAACAAUUUGGUUUUCAUAUAAAUUCAAUCCAGCUUACAUGAAGAUGAUCAUAUAAUUGUUCACGCCCAUUACAACAUCUUAUAUUUUACUUAUACCCAACAAAUUAUUCAUUUUUUUUUUCUGCCCCUACAUGUGGUUCAACAACGGAAAAGUUUAAAGUUCAAAGUUUCAACAGUGGCUAAAAAUGGAAUGAAACCAUAUUAUUAGUCAAUUAUAUAUAUGAGAUUACAAUUUUAUAUGUCAAAUACAUAAUACACAAACUCACUUUGGUUGGGUGGAUGAUUUGAAAACCGUUGAACAUUAAUAGUUUCUAGUGUGAAUCAAAUUUGCAAUGAUUAAAGUUCUAAAAAAUUUUGAGAGUGUAAUAUGAUGGCUUACAUCAACUUUGGUGUCUUCAAUAUUUAAGUCAGUAGAAAUGAUUUUGGAUCAUUGACUGAUGUUGAAGACCUGGAUGACUAAAACAAUGACAGUAUAAUCUUGUGGGCUGAAUUUCUCCUAGAUUUGAUAUAGAUUUCAUGUAUAUGCUGAUGGUCUCAAUGAAAUAAAGUGAUAGAACAAUGACAGUAUAAUCUUGUGGGCUGAAUUUCUCCUAGAUUUGAUAUAGAUUUGAUGUAUAUGCUGAUGGUCUCAAUGAAAGAAAGUGAUAGAACAAUGACAGUAUAAUCUUGUGGGCUGAAUUUCACCUAGGUUUGAUCUAGAUUUGAUGUAUAUGCUGAUGGUCUUAAUGAAAGAAGAUGAUGGUAUACAAUAGAAAUUGGUUUGAAUGUCAUGUGUUGGUGGAUUUUAAACUUUGAGAUCACUAUGCCUAUUAUAUUUGUAGUAAUAAAUGAAUAUUCAUGUAUAACAAAAUGUUCAAUUUUAAUGUGCCAAUGUAGCAAUAGCUGUUGUGCGGAAGCGGCAUUCGACUGUAAGUGAAUAGUAAAACAGAACAGAAACAAAACCAACAUCAACAAGAACACCAAGAUUUAUACUGGUUCGGCAAUGCCUACAUCCAGUUUGGAGACGACAGAGUAUUCCACUAUAAUCAAUGAGAACAUACAAUAGUGUUUAUCACUUAAUUUCCCAAAGACCCAAAUAACCCAAAUAACCCAAGCUCUCACACUUACAAUAGGAAGAGAAAACAAAAAAAUACAAAACAAGACAAUUUGAGAAAAUUCUUCUCUAUGCCAAAUGGCUUCUUGCUAUUUUUCUCUCUUCCUUGUUCUUCUCUACUUCUCCAUGCUUAUGGGUUGCACCUUGCACCCCUUUUAUAGCCAAAGAAAAGCUUCUCAAAGACAUCAAUGGCCAAAGGCCUACCUAUCAAGUCAAAAGAGUUAGGCACAAAUUAGGCACAAAUGUUGUUUGCCUCCCAUUACCACAAAGUAGCCCAAAGAUUUAGACUUUGACUACAUGUUUGAGUCAAUAAUCAACAAUCUCCACCUUGACUCAAACCCUCUAAGUAGAACUCCUAAUAGUCGUCUCCCAAUCCCCCAUGGGGCAAUCAACAAAUUUUACAAAUGCCAAUCAAGUCUAAGCAGUGCUUAAACUUGUGCAAUGAAACUGGCUUUGUUAACAUAUCCGCAGGAUUGUCAGUGGUCCCAAUCUUCUGAAGAAGAAUAUCUCCCUCGUCAAUAACCCCACGAACAAAAUGGAACCUCACAUCAAUGUGUUUCGUACGUGCAUGAUGAACUUGAUUCUUUGCUAAAUGAAUAGCACUCUGACUGUCGCAAUGAACAUCCACAUGGUCUUGUUGAACCCCUAAGUCAUCAAGCAACCCUUGAAGCCAGAUGGCUUCCUUUAUAGCUUCUGUCACAGCCAUGUAUUCUGCCUCAGUAGUCGACAAAGCAACUAUAAAUUGCAGAAUCGACCUCCAACUUACUGGACCUCCAGCAAUAGAGAAUACAAAACCAGUAGUGGACCUACGCUUGUCCAAAUCACCUGCGUAAUCAGAAUCCACAUAUCCAACAACACAUUUACCAAUAACUUUAUCCUGCUGGAACAAUAAACCAACAUCCACAGUACCCAGAAUAUACCGUAGAAUCCAUUUCACAGCUUGCCAAUGCCCUUUUCCUGGAUUAUGCAUAUAUCUACUGACAAUACUAACAGCUUGUGAAAUAUCAGGCCUAGUACACACCAUAGCAUACAUCAAACUACCAACAACAUUUGCAUAAGGAAUUUGAGCCAUGUACUGACUCUAUUCAACAGUUUUAGGAGACAUAGAAGCGCUAAGUUUGAAAUGGGAGGCAAGAGGUGUACUAACCGGUUUUGAAUUUUCAUUCAUCCUGAAACGUUGUAGUACCUUCUUCAAAUACUGCUUCUGACACAGACUAAUCUUGCCCUUCGCUCUAUCUCUUUCAAUCUCCAUACCUAGUAUCUUCCGAGCUUCUCCCAAGUCUUUCAUCUCAAAUUCAUUACUCAGUUGAGUCUUCAACCUUUCAAUCUCCACUUUGCUCUUACAUGCUAUAAGCAUAUCAUCAACAUAUAAAAGCAGAUAAAUGAAGGUUCCAUCUUGUAGUUUGCGAAAGUAUACACAAUGGUCAUAGUGACUUCUUGUGUACUUUUGCCCGAUCAUAAAUCCAUCAAAUCGCUUGUACCAUUGUCUUGGAGACUGCUUCAAGCCAUACAAUGAUUUUUCCAAUUUGCAAACCCAAUUUUCCUUUCCAGCAACCUUAAAACCUUCUGGCUGAGACAUAUAAAUCUCAUCCUCCAAAUCACCAUGUAAGAACGCAGUCUUGACAUCAAGUUGGGCCAACUCAAGGUCAAACUGCACAACCAAAGCCAACAGAAUACGAAUAGAAGAAUGUUUUACUACAGGAGAAAAUACCUCAUUGUAGUCAAUGCCUUCCUUCUGAGCGUAGCCUUUAGCUACUAAUCUGGCUUUGAAUCUUACAUUGUCUUUUCCCAAAGAUUCCAUCUUUUUGGCAUACACUCAUUUACAACCAAUUGCUUUCUUCCCCUUUGGUAACUGAACCAGCUUCCAAGUCUUAUUUUUAUGAAGAGAUUUCAUCUCCUCAUCCAUAGAUUUCUUCCACAACUCGCACUCUGAACUCAUGACAGCUUCUUUGUAGGCGGAUGGAAUAUCAUCUUCAAUAACGGGAAGUGCAUAUGCCACAAUAUCAGUAAAUCGAGCAGGCUUUCGGAUUUCCCUUCUCGAUCUUCUGGUUGCAAUAUAGUCUUGUUGCUGUGGAGGCUCUUGGGUAGGUGCCUCAUCUUCAUCAUCCUCGUCCUCAUCAUCAGAAUUAACUGUAUGACUAGUGUUUGAACAUCAGACCUUACUGGAACAACUGGAGUCUUCAGUAACUCCACCUGCUUUGAGCUCCUCAUGGUUUUGGUCGCUUCAGUUUCGCCUUCAUGCUUGUUCUUAUUAACCAUAGCAGCCUCAUCAAAAGUCACAUCUCUACUUACAACAAAUUUCUUCUCAUCUGGACACCAAAGUCGGUAUCCCUUCACGCCAGUGCUAAAGCCCAUAAAUAGAGCUUUCUUUGCUCUUGGAUCCAACUUGCUUUCUCUGACAUAAUAGUAAGCAGGACAACCAAAUAUGUGUAAAAACUUGUAAUCAGUACAAGGUUUACCAGACCAUACCUCCAUGGGCGUUUUGCCCUCAUUCGCAGCAGCUGGCAAUCGAUUAAUGAGAUGGCUUGCAUAAGUAAUUGCCUCAGCCCAAAAUGCCUUGCCUAAUCCAGCAUUAGACAACAUACACCGAACUUUCUCAAGCAAAGUACGGUUCAUGCGCUCCGCCACCCCAUUCUGUUGCGGUGUCUCCCUAACCGUGAAGUGCCUCACAAUACCCUCAUCUUGACAAACUUUCAAGAAAGGAUCAGACUUAUAUUCACCCCCAUUGUCUGAUCUAAGAGUCUUGAUCUUUCGACCGCUUUGCGUUUCAAUCAUCUUUUUCCACUUCAGGAAUAUCUUCAAGACUUCAUCUUUACGCUUCAUGGUGUACACCCAUAUUCUUCUAGAGAAGUCAUCAACAAAGGAGACAAAAUAAUGGCUACCUCCCCAAGAUGCAUUCUUGGAAGGUCCCCAAACAUCAGUGUGAACAUAAUCAAGAAUGCCUUUAGUGUGGUGAAUAGCAGUGCCAAAUUUUACUCUAGUUUGCUUACCCAACACACAAUGCUCACAGAAUUCCAAUUUGCAUGCCUUUGCACCUUUCAAUAAGCCUUGCUUCACCAAUCCUUGCAACGCUUUUUCACCAGCAUGCCCAAGACGCAUAUGCCAUAACCUCGUGGUAUCUGAGCUAUCUGCGUCAGCAGCUUCGGUGACAGCUGCUCCACCAAUAACUGUAUUCCCCUGCAAGAAAUACAAGUUAUUUCGUCUUGUACCUUUCAUCACCACCAGUGCCCCGUACACAGCUUUAAGAACUCCACCCUCCAUGGUGAUCUUGAGACCCUUGGAUUCCAAUGCACCCAGUGAGAUGAGAUUUUUCUUCAUAUCCGGUACAUACCGAACAUCACUUAAUUCUCUGACUGUUCCAUCAUGCAUCUUCAAACAGAUUUUGCCUAUCCCUUGUGUUUUGCAGGCAUUAUUAUUACCCAUCAAAACAACUCCACCAUCCAGCUCCUUGAAAUUAGAAAACCAUUCCCGAAUGGGACACAUAUGAUAGGUGCAACCUGAAUCCAAAAUCCACUCAUUUGAGUGACCAUCAGCAUAUGAACUAGCCAAAGCAAACUCGAAAUCAUCAUCUUCAGAUUUUACAAUAUUUGCUUCAGAACCCGCUUUCUCCUUCUCUUUGUUCUUCAAUUUGGGGCAAUAUUUCUUCCAAUGACCCUUUUGGCGACAAAAAGCACAUUCAUCUUUAGCAGGAAACUUCCCUCGUGACUUUGAACGAGAUUUUUCCCGCUUCCCAGAUUUUCUUUCCUCUGUUCAACCCCUUGCAACAAAUGCCUCGGUUUGUGAAUUAUGAGUCUUCAGUUCCUUCUUACGACACUCAUGAUUCACCAAUGCCGCAGACACCUCAUCAAGUUUCACCUUAGAUUUUCAAUACAAUAGAGUAGUUGUCAAAUGAUCAUAAUCAUCAGACAAUGAAUUUAACAAACAUAGUGCCUUGUCCUCGUCAGGAAUUUUCACAUCAAGGUUUGCUAAAUCAGCAAGUAUUUUAUUAUAAUCAUUGAGGUGUUCGUGCAUAGAGAUACCUGGACGAUACUGAAAUCGGAAGAGUCGCUUCUUCAAGAAGAGACAAUUUUCUGCGCUCUUGGUCAUAUACUUCUCCUCCAAUUUCGUCCAUAACUCCUUAGCAGAAGUUUCCUUUAUAUACGGGUAUUUCAACUCCUUAUCAAGGAACGAUCGAAUAGCAGCACAAGCAUGAAGAUUAAUUCGCGUCCACUGCUUGUCAUCAAUAUCUUCUGGUUUAUCUUCCAGAACCAUAUCCAACUCUUGUUGAUACAACACAUCCAUAACUUCACAUUGCCACAUACCAAAAUUAUUAGAGCCAUUGAAUUUAUCAACCUCUAACCUUGUAGUAGUGGUUGGAUGUCUAUUGGAUGUAGACGAAGACGAUGUUGACCCAUUCUUUACAUAUUCGUCUUUAUCUCCAGCCAUCUACUCGGCACUGUUCACAAAUACGACACUGUUCACAGGUACAAUACUGUUCACAGAUACUGUAGCAGUUCACUGUUCACAGAACUGUAGCACCAACACUAUUCACGAAACUGGGCUCUGGUACCACUUGUUGUGCGGAAGCGGCAUUCGACUGUAAGUGAAUAGUAAAACAGAACAGAAACAAAACCAACAUCAACAAGAACACCAAGAUUUAUACUGGUUCGGCAAUGCCUACAUCCAGUUUGGAGACGACGGAGUAUUCCACUAUAAUCAAUGAGAACAUACAAUAGUGUUUAUCACUCAAUUUCCCAAAGACCCAAAUAACCUAAAUAACCCAAGCUCUCACACUUACAAUAGGAAGAGAAAACCAAAAAUACAAAACAAGACAAUUUGAGAAAAUUCUUCUCUAUGCCAAAUGGCUUCUUGCUAUUUUUCUCUCUUCCUUGUUCUUCUCUACUUCUCCAUGCUUAUGGGUUGCACCUUGCACCUCUUUUAUAGCCAAAGAAAAGCUUCUCAAAGACAUCAAUGGCCAAAGGCCUACCUAUCAAGUCAAAAGAGUUAGGCACAAAUUAGGCACAAAUGUUGUUUGCCUCCCAUUACCACAAAGUAGCCCAAAGAUUUAGACUUUGACUACAUGUUUGAGUCAAUAAUCAACAAUAGCAACCAGUAGCAUAGCUUGGUUUCAAAGGUAAAAUGUGUGUGCAAAAAUUUAAAAGAAAAUGCACUUUGGUUUGGGGUUGAAAAUUUUAGUACUGAUAUAUAAAAUUUGUAAAGUAUAACUUUAAUUUUAAGUUGGAAGGUGAUUUCAAGACAUUGUACAAAUAUGCAAAACGUUUAUGUGAAUGUGAGUUUUAACAUUUUCAAAGGUCAUUAUGUUAACUUCAAAUUGACACUAUAAUUUUUGAAUUUUAUGUAAAUGAUUGUUAAGUUUAUACAUUGAUACUUAAGAUGUAAGAAAGGUUUAAUGUCACAUCCCGGCCCGGGUCCACCACAUCCCGGGCCUGUUCCACCACCGUAGCACAAUAUUGUCUACUUUGGGCUUACUAUUCCCUCACGGUUUUGUUUUUGGGAACUCACAAGUAAUUUCCCAGUGGGUCACCUAUCUUGGGAAUGCUCUGGCCUCCUUCUUGCUUAACUUCGGAAUUCCUAUGGAACCCAAAGCCAGUGAGCUCCCAAAAGGCCUCGUGCUAGGUAGGGAUGAAAAUAUACAUUUAAGGAUCACUCCCCUGGACGAUGUGGGAUGUCACAAUCCACCCACCUUAGGGGCUCGACGUUCUCGUCGGCACACUUCCGGCCAGAGAUUGGCUUUGAUACCAAUUGUCACAUCCCAGCCCGGGUCCACCACAUCCCAGGCCCGUUCCACCACCGUAGCACGAUAUUAUCCGCUUUAGGCUUACCAUUCCCUCACGAUUUUAUUUUUGAGAACUCACGAGCAACUUCCCAGUGGGUCACCCAUCCUGGGAGUGCUCUGGCCUCCUUCUCGCUUAACUUCGGAGUUCCUACGGAACCCGAAGUCAGUGAGCUCCCAAAAAGCCUCGUGCUAGGUAGUGAUGGGAAUAUACAUUUAAGGAUCACUCCCCUAAGCGAUGUGGGAUGUUACAUUUAAGCCAACUAAUAUUGAGCUGAAAUAAGAAAUAAUAUCAUAAUUGCUAAAAACUAAAACGGCUAACAAAUAAUUUUAUCAAAGCUAACAAAAGAUAGUGUUAUAAUGGCAUACCUUAUAAUCAAUGAUGAUUUGACACAAUGUUGUAUGUGACAAUUUGUUAGUCUGUUUAUUGAAGAGUGAAUGUGUGAAAAAAUAGGCUGCAAAAGAAGAGUAAAUGAAGUAAAAUUUGAAACAGAAUUUUUGGUUGCAAAUGAGCUGUGUCUCAAAUUCCUUGAACCCCAAUUUUUUAGGAAAAAAUCUCAAGUUUUCAAUCAAACAUUAAAAAAACGAAAAACAAAGUAAAAAUAUAACAACACAGAUUAAAAAAAAAAGCAGUAAUUUUUUAGCUAUAGAGUUAUGUUUUACCUUCAGAUGAAUUGUCGGAGAGAAAUGAGAAGUCAAAUAUUUGUCACCAAUUGAUAGACACCUAGAACACAAUAAACCAAAAAUAAAAUAGUAAUAAACAAAUAUAGAAAUAAAGGCUUGUCUAAAAUCUAAUAAAAAUUUGAAAUAAAAGAAAGAAUCUGAGAUGUGAGGGACAUACAUACCUUGCAUGUUUUGAGUUUCAUGUGUAAUGCUGAAAUGGUGAUGCUUGGUGGUUACAGAGAAACAAUAAUUUAGCAGAGACAAAUUUCAAAAGAGGAAACAAGGAAAUGGCCUAAAAAAGAAUCUGUCAUUAUUCGAUGUGUAACUUCGCAGUAAAGAAAAGAUCAGAAUCGUUUUUUCCUACCUCUUCAUUUUGUGAUAGUCUUGAGUUCUUUGUAUGUAAAUCAUGACUAACAAUCAAUUUUGUAUCCAUUUUUUUUGUAAGAAUGGAACGGGUGGUAUACAAAGAUGUAUCAAAUAUGUUUAAUUCAGUGUUUUUGUAUAAUACAAAAGCAUAAAUUGGUAAGUUAUUUCAACUUGGAUAAUUUAGAGAAACAAUCAUCAUUUCCAUCUUUCCUUCUCAGAAGAAUUGACCGUUACCAAUUUGUGGGUAAAGACAUUCUUCUAUUGGCUUGGUUCUAAUACAUGGCUAAUUACUAUGCUGGUCACUGUAGGGUUUAGAAUGGAUUUCCAAAAGUAUGAACAAAGAUGUUGUCAUCAAAGAUACCCUUGAGUGAUUAAGUCAAAAGAAGAUAGUUAUUAUCUACAUUGGUAGCAGCCAAUUCUCCUAAAAAAAAAAUUGUUAGUAAGGAUUCAAUGUAAAAUUGAAAUAUAAACUAAAAAAGGAAAUAAAGUUUGAAUUGUUGAUACAUACCAUUGAAGUCUUCAUUUGUAAUUUGGAAUACAGGACAGGGAAGGUUGAAUUGAAAACGUUAAGCAGACGAAAGGAUUUAUACCUCAAUUGAGUUUUUAGAUUAAUUUUGUUUCGUGAAAAGGUAAACCUACCAAAGUACAAAAAGUUAUGAUUAAGAAUAAAUGAAUAUUGCACCUAAUUAAAUUUAUGAUUAAGAAUAAAUGUAUACUUGACCUAGGAAACUGUUCUUUAUGAUUUCAUACAACAAAAAUGACAAAUUAACUAUGAACUCUGUUGAUACACAAAAUUAGUGAGAAUUUUGGUACAACAGAAAAUGUUAAAUUUAUGACAUUCGCUAGAUUGCUCUGGUCACUAGUGUGGAUAAGUAUGUAAAUGGAUAGAGGCAGGGAAGCAAACACAAGAUGUACGUGGUUCGCCCAGAUUGACUAUAUUCACGGAGUAUAGGAGUUCUCAUUAAUUGUGAAGGGUUUACACAAGUACAUAGGUUCAAGCUCUCCUUUUGUGAGUACUAGUGAAUGAUUUAGUACAAAUGAUAUUAGGAAAUAUUGUGAAAGAAUGAUCUCUAUUUAUAGAAGAGAGUUUCUAGUUUCAUUCUAACAUUGACACGUGUCGUGUUGUGAUUGGCUUCUGAUGUUGACACGUGUCGCGCUAUGAUUGGCUUCUGAUGUCGACACAUGUCGUGCUAUGAUGGGCCUCUUGGUUGGAAGGAAACUCUUCUGGGUCCUUGACGGUAUAACGUUGAUCAGUGCUCAGUAGUUUCGGGAUUGGUCAAGUAUGGUACAAACAGUGCUCCCCUAAGUUCCCGAGUGAGGGAAGCACCUCGAUUGGGGACUUGCAAGAUCCAAGCCAUUGAGUAAUCACGAAACUUCUAAGUACUGAAGUGUGGUAUCAUUUUCACUUACCUUAUCUGUCUCAUACGUAGAUGUGGCAUCUUCUCUGGUAGUACUUUUCCUUCAUCCAGGGAUGGUAUCUUUAACCGAUGAAGAUGCACAAGAUAAUGUAUCAAUUUCACUUGAAGCUUACUUGUAGUUUUGGGCUUGGUCAAGUGCGAUACAAAACCUUAUAGUAGGAGUUCCCCAAGUCGCCGAGCUAGGAGAUUUGCUGAAAAAGGCAAUAGACAAGGUAAGCAAUCAGACUUCCAAGCAAGCAACCUGGAUCGGAGGUUCGACUUCAGCUUUCGGUUGAUUGUUCUCCUUCUCCUUGUGUCGUAAAUAGCAACAAGGAUAAGGAGAAGCAAAUGGAGAAGAGAUGAUAUAAGAUACUUUUGCUUUUGAAGAAGUAACUUUCUACAGGCUUAUUCUUGAACUGGGCUAGAAGGUUUUCUAGUUUCCUCCAGAGUAUAAGGCAGACUCAAGAAUUUGAGGGUCAAAACAAGUCCAUUAAAUCAAGAGUGCGUUCAACCUUGAUGAUAUGGGAUACUUUUGCUAUUGACGAAGUAAUAGAUGAAUCGGCACGUGUUCUGUUGCGUUUGUCUCCACAUGCUUCCUUGUAUCCUUCUCACUUGCCCUAUAUGUUCCUCAGGCAGAUGUGGUAUCUUUUCUAGAAGCAUAAGAUGUUGAAGAUGAGUACUCGAAAGGAAUGCCAGGUAAGUAAUCAGGCAAGGGGUUUCUAGGUAGUCAGUUUCUGACUGGAAGCUUGAUUCCAAGUGCUGACUGAUUGCUCUCUUUCUCAUUGUCUUGCAGGUAAGAACAAGGGCAAAGGAAAAGACAGGGAAAAAGUAUGAUAUGGGAUAUAUGACAUAAGAUACUCUCUGGUGUGGCUGGUUUGCAUAGGUAUUAUUGGGGGGGGGAAGAAAGCUGAGUAUUUUGAGAGUCUUCGUUGGGAGUGCCCUCUCAGAUAUGAGAAAGGAUUUAGCAUUUUUGGAGGUCUGCCUGUCCAUGGAGGAUGGAGGUCGACAUAUAUAGGAGUCUCCCUAACAACAAGUAGUAAUGCUAUUUCUUUACCCUUCUUGGUCGUAACAAUGUAGUGGGAGCUGCAAGCUUCACGUAUUUUAACUUUGUCAGAGCACUUUGAAAAAGUGGUAUGUGGUAUCUGGAAAGCUGAUAUUGCGUGUGAAGAUUGCAGACAAGCUUUAUCCAAGGAAAUCUGGCUUUCGAAGUUCGGAGAGCGAUCCCUCUUCGAUUUUCGAACAAGUAAUCCUGUCGGGGAUCUGGCUUUCGAGAUUUGGAGAACGGUACCUCUUCGAUUUUUGAGAAAGUAAUCCUGUUGGGAGUUUGGCUCUUAAGAUUCGGAGAGCGGUGCCUCUUCGAUUUUUGAGAAAGUAAUCUUGUUGGGAGUCUGGCUCUCAAGAUUCAGAGGGCGGUGCCUCUUCGAUUUUUGAGCAAGUAAUAAUGUUAUCCAUUUACCCUUCUUGGUCAUAGCAAUGUAGUGGGAGCUGCAAGCUUCACAUGUUUUAACUUUGUUAGAGCAUUUUGAAAAAGUGGUCUGUGGUAUCUGGAAAGCUGAUGUUGCGUGUGAAGAUUGCAGACAAGCUUUAUCUAAGGAAAUAUGGCUCUCGAAGUUCGGAGAGCGGUGCCUCUUCGAUUUUCAAACAAGUAAUCCUGUCGAGGAUCUGGCUCUUGAGAUUCAGAGAACGGUGCCUCUUUGAUUUUUGAGAAAGAAAUCAUGUUAGGAGUAUGACUCUCGAGAUUCGGAGAGCAGUGUCUUUUCAAUUUUUGAGAAAGUAAUCUUGUUGGGAGUCUAGCUCUCGAGAUUCGGAAAGUGGUUCCUCUUCAAUUUUGAGCAAGCAACCUUGUUGGAAGUGUUUUCUCGAAUGUGAGUAAAGGUUGGGCAUUUUUUCCAGUCUGCCUUGCCACGGAGCAUGGAGGUUGACACACAUUGGGACUUUCUAGUUAUUAAGUAGGGAUGUUGUUCUUUUACCCUUAUGGGUAAUAGUAGGGUAGCUGAACCUUCAAAAUUUAUGUGUCUAAACUUUGUCAAAGAUCUUUGGCAAAGUUAUUUGUGGUACUCGAUGAGCUAAUGUUGCGUGUGGAAAAUGGUGCCUCUUCAAAAUCCGGAGAGUGGUGCCUCUUCGAAAUCCGAAAAGUGGUGCCUUUUCGAUUAUUGAAUCAACGGCCUUAUUGCCCUUUCUUUUAUAAGGGCACCAAUUGUGUGCAAGGAGUACAUUUAGAGAGUUAUUGCUUGUAGGAAUUUUCCCCUUACUUCAGAGAUUUAUUGUACCUUAUUUCUCCUUCAUCAUUUCUGAGAAUGUCUGGCCCAUCCGACCGUCGUUUUGAUUUGAACUUUGGUGAAGAGGCAGCCAUACCUUCUUAAGACAACAUAUGACCCCCAUCCUUCUUAUCCUCUACUGGUUCUCUUACUGUUGAGGACUCUGUGAUGAAGAAUGAUAUAACCGCUGCGGUGGUGGCCAAGAACCUUCUUACUCCCAAAGAUAACAGACUACUUUCCAAACGGUCUGAUGAGUUGGUUGUUAAGGAUUCUCUGGCUCUCAGUGUUCAGUGAGCAGGUUCUGUGUCUAAUAUGGCCCAACGCCUAUUUGCUCGAACCCUCCAAGUUGAAUCAUUGGCGGCUGAAGUGAUAAGCCUCAAACAGGAGAUCAGAGGGCUCAAGCAUGAGAAUAAACAGUUGCACAGGCUCGCAUAUGACUAUGCUACAAACAUGAAGAGGAAGCUCGGCCAGCUGCAGGAAUCUAAUGGUCAGAUUUUACUUGAUCAUCAGAGGUUUGUAGGUUUGUUCCAAAGGCAUUUAUUGCUUUCGUCUUCUAAGGCUGUACCGCGUAAUGAAGCUCCAAAUGAUCAACCUUUGGUGCCUCCUCCUUCUGGGGUUCUGCCUAGUACCGAGGCUCCGAAUAAUCACCCUCUGAUGCCUCCUCUUUCUGGGGUUCUGCCGACUGCUGAGACUUCUUCUGAGCAACCUUUGUGAAUGCUCCCUCUUGUUUGUUUAUUUUGAUUCAUGUAUAUGUACAUAUUUGUAACUUAUCGAGAUAUCAAUAAAUAAGCUUUGCUUCAUUUCAACGUAUUGUGUUAAAUACACCAAGGCCUUCUUCACUAAGUUCUUUGAAUUUUUCCUUUUGUUGAAGCUUGUAUGUUGAAGCUUUGUGAGUGAAGCAUGUAGGUUGAGGUAGUGCUCCCUUAAUUUCCUGAGUGAGGAAAACUUCUCUUUUGGAGACUUGAAAAACCCAAGUCACUGAGUGGUCGUGAGACUUCCGAGUAUCAAGGUGUAGUAGCAUAUGGUAGGAGUCCCCCAAGUCUCCGGUCGAGGGAGUUGACGAAUAAGGCAUUUCCUUUCUAAAUGGUAGCCCAAAACUCCUUCUUCAUAUAUAUUUGUUAUGAAAGUUUUUAGGCCCAAAGAAGAGGAGGCCUAGGCAAUAUAUUUUUUUUCUUUCUAAAAUUUUUUUUUUCGAAUUUUUGAAUUUUUGAAUUUUUGAAUUUUUGAAUUUUUGAAUUUUUGAAUUUUUGAAUUUUUGAAUUUUUGAAUUUUUGAAUUUCGGAAAUUUUGAAUUUUCAAAUUUUGGUGUUGUAGCUUUGUAGGUAAAGCUUUGAGGUUGAAGCUUUGUUGGGCACCAUGAAUUGAUUUUGCUUCACACUAUCUUGAUCAAGAUAAUGUAAAGCUUUUGUAGGUGAAGCUUUUGUGUUGAAGCUUUGUAGGUGAAACUUUUGUGGGUGAAGCUUUUGUGGGUCAAGGUUUUGUGGGUGAAGAUUUUGUGGGUCAAGGUUUUGUAGGUCAAGCUUUUGUGGGUGAAGCUUUUGUAGGUGAAGCUUUUGUGGGCUUUUGUGGGUGAAGCUUUUGUAGGUCAAGCUUUUGUGGGUCAAGCUUUUGUAGGACAAGCUUUUGUGGGUCAAGCUUUUGUGGACGAAGCUUUUGUGUUGAAGCUUUUGUAGGUGAAGCUUUGGAGUUGAAGCUUUGUAGGUGAAGCUUUGGAGCUGAAGCUUUUUUGGGAUACCAUGAAUUGAUUUUGCUUCACAUUAUCUUGAUCAAGAUAGUGUGAACCUUUUGAGAAUUUGUAGUAGUCCUCCAUUGAUGAAGCUUUUGUUGGUGAAGCUUUGGAGUUAAAGCUCUGUAGGUGAAGCUUUGGAGUUGAAGCUUUUGUUGGUGAAGCUUUUGUUGGGUACCAUGAAUUGAUUUUGCUUCACACUAUCUUGAUCAAGGUAGUGUGAAGCUUUUGAGAAUUUGUUGUUGUCCUCCACUGAUGAAGCUUUUAUUGGUGAAGCUUUGGAGUUGAAGGUUUUGUUGAGUAUCAUGAAUUGAUUUUGCUUCACACUAUCUUGAUCAAGAUAGUGUGAAGCUUUUGAGAAUUUGUAGUUGUCCUCCAUUGAUGAAGCUUUGUUGAAUUUCCCUUUUUUUUUUGGGAAACUAUAAAUUUGAAAAUGUGGGAGAGACAACAUAUACAAAUUUUACUUCCACACUGUUGAGCAAGAGAUUGUGAUGCAAGCCACACCUUGUAGUAGUCGAAGGUUUGGAUGAAUCAUAUAAAUUGAAUUUGUUUCGAAGGUCUGAGAAUUAUAGUUGCCCUCCAUUGAUGAAGCUUUUUUUGGCACCAUAAAUUGGUUUUGCUUCACACUGUCUUGAUCAAGAGUGUGUGAAGCUUUUGAGAAUUGUGGUUGAACUCCUUUGAUGAAGCUUUUGUUGGCACUAUAAAUUGGUUUUGCUUCACACUGUCUUGAUCAAGAGUGUGUGAAGCUUUUGAGAAUUAUGGUUGCCUUCUAUUGAUGAAGCUUUUGUUGGCACCAUAAAUUGGUUUUGCUUCACACUGUCUUGAUCAAGAGUGUGUGAAGCUUUGGAGAAUUGUGGUUGAACUCCUUUGAUGAAGCUCUUGUUGGCACCAUAAAUUGGUUUUGCUUCACACUAUCUUGAUCAAGAGCGUGUGAAGCUUUUGGGAAUUGUAGUUGCCCUCUAUUGAUGAAGUUCUUGUUGGUACUAUAAAUUGGUUUUGCUUCACACUGUCUUGAUCAAGAGUGUGUGAAGUUUUUGAGAAUUGUGGUUGCCCUCUAUUGAUGAAGCUCUUGUUGGCACCAUAAAUUGGUUUUGCUUCACACUGUCUUGAUCAAGAGUGUGUGAAGCUUUUGAGAAUUGUGGUUGAACUCCUUUAAUGAAGCUCUUGUUAGCACCAUAAAUUGGUUUUGCUUCACACUGUCUUCAUCAAGAGUGUGUGAAGCUUUUGAGAAUUAUGGUUGCCCUCCAUUGAUGAAGCUCUUGUUGGCACCAUAAAUUGGUUUUACUUCACACUAUCUUGAUCAAGAAUGUGUGAAGCUUUUGAGAAUUGUGGUUGAACUCCUUUGAUGAAGCUCUUGUUGGCACCAUAAAUUGGUUUUGCUUCAUACUGUCUUAAUCAAGAGUGUGUGAAGCUUUUGAGAAUUGUGGUUGCCCUCCAUUGAUGAAGCUUUUGUUAGCACCAUAAAUUGGUUUUGCUUCAUACUAUCUUGAUCAAGAGUGUGUGAAGCUUUUGAGAGUUGUAGUGUUUGUAUUGUUACAGAGGGGAAAUGUUUGAAGCAGAUGCAAGAGAGCUAAAUAGCUUGAUCUUUAUAUGCCAUGCAUUGAAGUUGCUGUUGGCUUGCAAUAAGACUUUGUUGGUGACUAUAACUCUUGUUGGGCAUAAGUGCUCCCCUAGUUGAGUUGUCAAGCUUGAGGGUUUUUGAUUAUUUAUGAAUGCUAGGAGUUCACAUGUACAAGUUGUACCACUCGUCUUCUGGUAGGUGGAAUGAAUGGUGAGUUGCUUUCAUCACUUGGUUGGUGGUACGAAAGUAAGUUCCUUCUUCCCCUGGUUGGUGGCAUGAAUGGCAAGUUGCCAAAUGAUAUUAGAGUACGGGUUGUACAUUUCAUCACCUGUUUAGUGGCAUGAAGGAGAGUACAGGUUGUACAUUUCAUCACUUGGUUGGUGGCAUUAAUAUGAGUUCUUUCUUCACCUGGUUGGUGGCAUGAGUGGCAGGUUGCCAAAUGAUAUUAGAGUACGGGUUGUACAUUUCAUCACCUGGUUGGUGGCAUGAAGGAGAGUACAUGUUAUACAUUUCAUCACCUGGUUAGUGGCAUAAAUGGCAAGUUGCGAAAUGAUAUUAGAGUACGGGUUGUACAUUUCAUCAUCUGGUUAGUGGCAUGAAGGAAAGUACGAGUUGUACAUUUCAUCACCUGGUUGGUGGCAUGAGUGGCAAGUUGCCAAAUGAUAUUAGAGUAUGGAUUGUACAUUUCAUCACCUAGUUGGUGGUAUGAAGGAGAGUACGGGUUGUACAUUUCAUCACCUGGUUGGUGGCAUGAAGAUGAGUUCUUUCUUCACAUUUCAUCACCUGGUUAGUGAGAAUAAAGGCAAGGUGUUUAGGCACAUUGUAGCAAGUGUCGAAUGACAAAAAAUAUGUUGAACCAUUUCAAAGCACAAUUGGCUUAUGUAUGAAUGUGUUGGAAUGUAUGAUUGAACGAAUAUACUGUAAAGCUGUUCGUUUAUUUGUAUAGUCUUGUUGACAUAUACUUAGACUUUGUUUCAUGUUGGAAGCAUUCAUGUUGAAGCUUUGAAACUGAGUGUUUCAUUGCUAGGAAUGUAAGAAGAUUAGGAUCAAGUUGUCUAAAUCACCUAUUCAUUGAAUUCAUGCCAAAUAGUCUUCGUUACAUAGGAUGCCGAACGGCUGAAGCUUAACACUUGUACAAUGUGAGUUUACUUGUAAUAGUACUUCAAGUGAUCAGCGUUCCAUGGAUGGCCAAGGGUCUUGCCAUCGAAGCUUCUAAGCUUGUAGGAGCCAGGGCGACUGAUGCCAACAACUUCAAACGGUCCAUCCCAGUUUGGACUAAGUGUUAUUUCACUCAGAACUCUGUCGCAGAGUAAUCUUUUCUUCAACACCCAGUCCCACAUUUUGAAAGGACGAGGUUCGACCCUUGAGUCAUAGUAGUUGGAAAUGUGUUGCUUGUAGGCGACAUUCCUCAAGUGAGCCUGGUUUCUGUAUUCCUCGACUAGAUCUAAGUAGAGGGUAAGUUGUUUGUCAUUUUCGUUGUGCACGUAGUUCUGGACUCAAAACGUUGCUUGCUCAAGCUCAACUAGGACAACUACCUCUGUACCAAAGGCAAGUGAGAAUGGGGUUUCUCCUGUUGAUGUCCGAUACGAAGUGCGGUAUGACCAAAGAACUUGGGGGUACAAAUUCUGGCCAACAACCUUUAGCCUUAUCCAAGCUGGUUUUCAAAGUUCGCUUGAUUAUUUUGUUGAUGGCUUCAACUUGUCCAUUAGACUGGGGAUGAGCUGGGGAGGCAAAACAUAAGUUGUGUUGAACUUAUAGCAGAACAUCUUGAACUUAUUGUUGUCGAACUGUCGCCCGUUAUCAGUGACUAUUUCAUUGGGAAUGCCGAAUCUGCAAAGGACGUUCUUCCAUACGAAGUCUUCUAUUUUUGCCUCAGUAAUGGUUGCCAAUGGUUCUACUUCAGCCUAUUUUGUGAAGUAGUCAACUACAACGAUUGCAUAGCGAACCUUGCCCUUCUUUGCAGGAAUUGGGUCAAUCAAAUCAAGUCCCCAUUAGGCGAAGGGCCAAGGGCUGAUCAAAGAGUGAGCGGCUUGAGAGUGGAUAGAGGAAUAGUUGCGUAGCGUUGACACUUAUCACAUGAGUGGGAUAUUAUGAUGGCAUUUUGGUGGAGUGUUGGCCAGUAAUAUCUUUGACGAAAAGUCUUGUGUGCUAAGGAUCGAGAUCCAGCAUGAUCUCCGCAGACUCCUUCAUGUAUUUCCCAAAGGAUAGUUUCCACCUCUACAUGCGUAAGGCAUCUUAGGUAUGGUAGGUUAAAACCCCGCUUGUAGAGUUGGUCAUUAAUGAUCAAGUAACGAGUAGCCUUGUAUCGAAUCUGCUUAGCUUGGACUUUGUCAUUUGGAAGGGUGCUAGAGCAAGGAAUCUAUAAAUUGGGGUAAUCCAACUAUCUCCUUGUUGUAAGUUACACACUUUCGCAGCCAUGGUGCUUGGUGCUGCCAACAAUUCGACCUGAAUUUUUCUACCAAUCUUGUCUUCCACUGCUUAGGCGAGGCGAGCCAAAGCAUCUGCAUGACUAUUUACCGCUCGAGGAAUUUGGGUGAUCUGGUAGUGGAAGUGUUUGAGCAACAAUUGUGUUUGUGCCAGAUAUGUUGUCAUGGAGCUAUCCUUAGUGUCAAAGUUGUUGGUGACCUGGUUAACUACCAAUUGUAAGUCACUGAAGAUAUCAAUUCGUUUAACCCCAAGGUGUUUGGCUAAACGUAAACCUUCUAGGAGGGCUUCAUAUUCGGCCUCAUUGUUCGACGCCUUGAAUUUGAAACGAAGAGCAUACUCCAUCACCACUUUGUCAGGGGUCAUAAGGACUAGUCCUGCUCCACAACCCUGUUGGUUGGAUGAGCCAUCAAUAUAUAAACUCCAUGCUGGGGCUGUUGGUUCUAUUUUCUGAGUUUCCGAAGGUAAUUAAACCACUCAUUUAGGCGUAGAAACAAUGUCAACAGGAUAUGUGAAGUCAGCGAUGAAGUUUGCCACUGCUUAGCCCUUCUCAGCUGGCUUUGGUUGGUAGCAGAUGUCAAACUCACCCAAUGCUAUCGCCCAUUUGAUCAUUCUCCCGGAAAUGUCAGGACUUUGGAGUAUCUGUCGAAAAGGAUGAUUGGUAAGCACGAUGAUGAAGUAUGCUUGGAAGUAAGGGUGAAGUUUUCGAGCAGACAUGACCAAUGCUAGAGCCAAUUUCUCAAUGCUGGAGUAUCGUGUCUCCGCAUCUUGUAAGGCCUUGCUAGCGUAGUAGACAAGCCAUUCGACAUUACCAUCAUUUCGAAUGAGAACGGAACGAACUGCUGAAGCCGAUACCGACGAUAGAUAAUGAGAGUGUCACCAACCUCAGGUUUGGAGAGCAAAUGGGCUUUACUUAUGUAGUCUUUGAGGUUCUUGAAUGCCUCAGCACAUUCAUCAGUCCAUGUAAUGUACUUCUUACUUCCCUUAAGUGUUUUGAAAAAAGAAGCACAUCUGUCGGUAGCCUUAGAGAUGAACCUAGUUAAGGCUGCCACAUUGCCAGUAAGGCUCUAGAUGUCUUUUGAAGUUACCGGUUCCUUCAUAUCGAGGAUUGCUUUGAUCUUCUCAAGAUUAGCCUCAAUGCCUCGUUGGCUUAUCAUAAAGCCUAAGAAUUUGCCAGAGCCUACGCCGAAGGCACAUUUGUUGGGGUUCAACCUCAUUCGAUACCUCUUCAGAAUGGUGAAAGUUUCAGAUAGGUUGGUGAUGUGUUGGUCAGCAUGUUUGCUCUUGACUAGCAUAUCAUCAACGUAAACUUCCAUGUUUUUCCCAAUUUGUUCGGCGAACAUUGAAUUGACCAGUCUCUCAUGACUUUAUAGUAAUGUAGUCCCCUGUCAGUAGUGAAGGGUAUGUGUUCUUGGUCCGGAGGGUUCAUGAUGAUUUGGUUGUUUCUUGAGUAAGCAUCCAUGAAGCUCAGGAGUUCACACCCUGCUGUAGAGUCUAUAAGUCUGUCUAUGAGAGGAAGAUGAAAGCUAUUAUUCGGGCAUCCUUUGUUUAGUUCGAUGUAAUCGACACACAUUCUCCACAAGACCUUUUGGAGCAGGUGACUUUCCUUGGUCGGAUUCUUUUUAACAAGGACAACAUUUGCUACCCAUGUUGGAUAAUUGACUUCGCAGACGAAGCCUAUGCCUUUGAGUUUUUCAACUUCUGCCUUCAUUGUCUCAUACCGUUCAGCGUCAUAAGAUCUUCGCUUCUGUCUCACUGGCUUGGUCUUGGGUCAAUACUUAAGCAACGACAAAUUAUAUCUGGCGAGAUGCCUGGCAUGUCCUCAUAUGACCAGGUGAAGUCCUCAGUGUUCUUUUGCAAAAAAGAGAUUAAUGCCAACCGAAUUGGUGGUGACAAGGUGGUACCAAUCUUCACCAUGCGAUCCGGAUAAUCUUUUGAGAUAGAAACCUUCUCUAACUCUUCAGCGGGUUGUGCUUGCUGGGUGAAAAAGUCAUCUCGAGGAUCGUCGGGUUGACUGUUGCCACCGUGAAGAUCCAAGUUGGCUUCGUCUGGGCUGGUCUUUAUGACUUGGUCAUGUAUAUAAAGGGGUUCCUUGGGCACAUGCAAGUCCUGUUGCUUGAUCGAAGUGUUGUAACAUGAUCGUGCACUUAGUUGAUCUCCUUUGAUGUAACCAUUGCCAUAGGGGGUUGGAAAUUUCAUCAACAACAUAUGUGUGGAUACCAUGGCCUUAAGAUCAUUGAUGCAUGUGCAUCUGAAGAUGACAUUGUAUGCCAUUGGGCAAUCAACCACCAGGAAGUUAGUGGUAAUGGUAGCUGUGUAAGGGCAUGUACCAAUGGUGAAAGGUAAGUGUAUGCUCCCCAAAGGUUGCACGAUAUCACCAGAGAAGCUUAUCAGAAGGGAAAUCGAGCGAUCGAGCAAGUGUUCAGCUACAUUAAGUGCCCUGAAAGCUUCAACAAACAUGAUAUUGACCGAAGCCCCCAUCUUUACCAGGAUUCGUCAUACUUCAAAGUUGGCUAUGUGAGCUUCCAUGAUCAAUAGGUCGUUGUGAGGGUAGAUGAUACCUCUUUCUUCCUCAGGGUAGAAACAUAUUGGAUCUCAGUUAGGCUUUUGAUACUUACCUCCCCUGUUGGAAGAUUUAGAUAUGGGUGUGCCACCACUUAUGGAAUAUAUCACAUUUACUUGGAGGGUAGAUGAUACCUCUUUCUUUCUCAGGGUAGAAACAUAUUGGAUCCCAGUUAGGCUUUUGAUACUUACCUACCCUGUUGGAAGAUUUAGAUAUGGGUGUGCCACCACUUAUGGAAUAUAUCACAUUUACUUGGCGUUGGUUACGGUUACCCCUUAGAGGGUGAAAGAGGAAUUGAUCAAUUUUCCUUCACGUGCCAAAGCUUCAAUAUGAUCACGAAUGGUGAUACACUUCUUACUAUCAUGGCCAUUAUGCUCGUGGUAGUAGCAAAACGUGACCGUGUUCUUCGUGGGCUUGUAAUCCGGGUGCCUUGGUUUUGGCUUCGGUAUCAAGUGUGCUAUGCUGGGGUAAAUGGCCACGCAUAUGGCAUUCAAAGGUGUGUAUGCCUCAUACCUCGGGGUAGGGGAUGUCCUGACACGUGCUUGACCCACUGUGUUGACUGCUUGGGGUCGGGGAUUAUCAUGGCGAUACCUUUGGUUAUCGCGGUAGUGUCCCUUACUCCUUUUACUAAAAUGAGAUUGGUGAGGAUGGAAAUCUUUCCUUUUGCCCUGAGAUUGAUAUGUAUGUUGACUUGGCAAAGUAUUAAGUAAGGCAGAGGGAGGCACCGCUGCCAUUUGGAAGGUUGAAGUCUUCUCAUUUGGUUGGAUAUGGCUUCCACUCCCUACUUGUUGAUAAGAGGUGGUUGUGGGGGGUUUCCCUUGAUAUGUCUUUGCCUCAGCGGAAGCAUGGUUGUAAGCCUGUGCCAUUACCUCAGAGUAAGUCUUCCAAGUGUUGGCAUUGAUCAUGUACUUAAAGAAACAAUCACGUAGGUCUGCCGUGAAGGCCUUGAGGGCGGUUUUGUCAUCUGCCUCAGUACAGCGAGAAUACUCAUGGCUGAAACAACCAGCAUACUUUCGUAAUGACUCGUCCGGCUUCUGGCGAAUAGUGUACAAGUCAUCUGCAGAAUGCAAGCGAUAGGUCUGGAAGAUGUGUUGAAAGACAAGCAGUUUCCUUAAUUACUCAAAUGAGUCUACUGUCUCAGGUAAAAGACGACAAUACCAGUUUAGAGUUCCGCCAGAGAGGGUGGAGGGGAAGAGAAGACAUCACUCUUCGUCGGUGUGCAUCCGAUAUGCCAUGGUGGACUCAAAGAGGUUAAGGUGUUCAAUUGGGUCCUCCAUUCCAGUAUAGAGUUGUGAACCAAGCUUUUGUUUUGUCUUCGCUUGAAGGGGGUGUCGAGGAUCCUCCUUGUGAGAGGGCCAUGCCUGGGUUGGUUCCAGUCAGGUAUCUCAGCCUGACGUUCGGCCUUCAACUUAUUUACUUCCUCAAGGAGCUGUAGGAUAAGGGGGUCUUGAGUGGAGUCAUGUACCACUGGGAUUUUCUUUCGUAAGUCUCCAUCGCCUUUUGGAAGUAGGAAAGUUUGAGUAAGGGCGUGUGAUUUUUCCUUGGACUUGACAUACUGACUUCUAGGGCGAGUCUGUCAGAAUACCUCAGAGUCCCCUGUACCUUCAUGUUCCUCUAGGACAUGUCGUUCCUUCCCUAGAUUGGCAGCUGGCUUAGGUCGUGGGAGGGGACCGAGUCUUUCAGAAACCCUUGGGUCAUUGAUCUUCGAGCAUAUGUGGAAGGGAUUCUCUCGACGGUGCCUUAAGAAGUCUCGGCAGUCACGAUAAACGGCUUUCGAUCCUUCCAACCCUUCUGCAAUGAGGUGUCUUCCUCCACUUCUCCUGCUUCGGGUCGAAGCAGCUGGGUUGAGAGAAGUCUCAUGUUGAUCUCACUCCUCAUCAGGGAUACCCAUGUCGAAGAAAGAUGACCUUCCGUGUUGGAGGGCACCAGAUGAUGGUUGAUGUCCACAGGGGCAACAAGCUCGCGUGUUUAAGUACGCAUAGUUUCAUGGAGCGUCUCAAAGAGUUUCUCAUACUACUCCUGGAGGACCUCAUUCUUCAUUGUUAUCUUGUUGUUUUGAGCUUCUAGCUCAUCUACUUUAGCUUGAAGAGCAACCCUCUUUCCUUCAUUCUUUCAUUGCUUUGCACUAGGUGCAAGAUGGGUGUCAUUCUGUGUGUUGUGGCUUCUUUCGCUCCCCAUGUUGGAGAGGGAUGCCUGGUCAAAAGAGAGUGUACGAAUGGUGGAAACUAGUUUAACAAAGCUAAAGAGAGUGGGAAUAAGUGUCGUUUCCCACAGACGGCGCCAAAUGUUAAUGCACAAAAUUAGUGAGGACUUUGGUACAACAGAAAGUGUUAAGUUUAUGACCUUCGCUAGAUUGCUCCGGUCACUAGUGUGGAUAAUUAUGUAAAUGGAUAGCGGCAGGGAAGUAAACACAAGAUGUACGUGGUUCACCUAGAUUGGCUACGUCCACGGAGUAGAGGAGUUCUCAUUAAUUAUGAAGGGUUUACACAAGUACAUAGGUUCAAGCUCUCCUUUUGUGAGUACUAGUGAAUGAUUGAGUACAAAUGACAUUAGGAAAUAUUGUGAGAGAAUGAUCUCUAUUUAUAGAAGAGAGUUUCUAGUUUCAUUCUGACAUUGACACAUGUUGUGUUGUGAUUGGCUUCUGAUGUUGACACAUGUCGUGCUAUGAUUGGCUUCUGAUGUCGACACAUGUCGCGCUGUGAAUGGCCUCUUGGUUGGAGGGAAACUCUUUUGGAUCCUUGACGGUAUAACGUUGACCGGUACUCAGUAGUUUUGGGAUUGGUCAAGUAUGGUACAAACAAACUCCGUAGAACAUGAAACUAGAUAAAAAUUGAAACAUAACCAUAAUUUUGUAAAUCAUGUGAUAAAAAAAUUUAAAAUUUCUAAAAGGUCUUGAGACUUACAUUGUGGUUUGUGCUAUUUUCCACACCAAUGGACGUAAUUGUGAAACGACAUCAUAAAGUAAGUCUGAUGGGAGCUGGUAGACAAUUGGUAAAUGAUUAUUGCUUGCAAAUGUAAAAGAUUUUACCUAUGAGGUCAUAAAGUGAAGCAUAUAACUAUAAACUUUGCAACACAUCUUUGUAUACCAUAUUUAAGUAUAAUUGUCAACAUUGUUUUCUUCAUUUGGUAUUAAAAUUUUUAAACCUUCUUUUAAAGUCACUCUAGACAAUGCAACAUACAAUUGACCAUGAGUAAAAACAGGCUCAGGAAGAUACAAUCCAACUUGUUUCAAAUAUUGACCUUGACUUUUGUUAAUAGUCAUUGCAUAACAUGGUGUAACAAGAAAUUGACGCCUUUUAAAAAUGAAAGGUCAUUUAGUUUCAAUUGUUGUGAGAGAUUCUUGGUAUAAAAACUUUGUGAUCAAUAUUGUUUCCAGCAAGUAUUUUAGCUUCAAUAAUUCUAUCAAAUAAUUGAGUAACAAUUAAUCUAGUUCCAUUGCACAAACCUGAAGACUGAUUUAAAUUUUGUAAGAGCAUAAUUGGCAUCUCUAUUUUUAAAAUUAAAUUAUGUGCAAGUAAACCAUUGAAGUUAAGUGAAUUUGAAAACUCAGUAGGAUACAAUGUUUCAAGAUUUUCAGUAUUUCCAUUUGAAGAACACAAAGAAUCAAAACUUAGAAAUGUAUGUUGUUCUCCAGGUACUAAAUUGAUCACAUAAUUAUUUUUAUCUGUAACAGUUGUAUUCCGAGGUGUUAUAAUAGCACGUUCCCUUAAAUAAACAAAAUUGUCAAAAGAAUUUUCAAAAUCAGGAUAAGUUGUAAAAAAUAUUGAAGAAAUUGGAUCUGUGAUACAAUCAAUUACUAAAUCUUUUGGUAUUUUCAAACCAUUCUUUAUCACCACCUAAUAAUCCCAAUGAUUUACAUACAACAUGAUAUAAAGAAUGAACAACACCAUUAACUGUUUUUAUAUCAUCAAAAUUUUGGGCAUCCUUUUUUCCAAAUUUAAACGCAUUCUUAGAUAAUAUAAUUCACCAUAUGCAGGAUGCACAUAUGCUAUUCUACCAAUUCAUCCUCUUUAUUUCCUAGGUUUCCAUAUUUUGUUUCGUGCAUCAAACACAAAUUUUGAUGGAAUUUGUGCAUAAGUUAAUGAACGUGCUUCACUAUAAAUUUUGUUUGUUUGAAACCAAGUUGUUAACAUUGUAUGUUCAAAAUUUUUUUAGUUGAUAAUUAACUGCAAUGAUUGAUCAUCACUGAAAACUACAUUUUGUUGUAAUGAUAAAUGGACUGGUAAUCUUUUAAUACAAGGUUCUCUAUUAUGUAUUGAAUAUUGAAACAAUAUCCAAAUUGUUUCGUAAGGUGAUAUGUAUCUACAAUUUAGGUAUGCUAAUAUUUCAUCAUUUGAAUCUUGUUGGAGAAAUAAUCAUGCUUUGUCCAAAUCUUUAUUUACAUAUUUGAACAAAUACUUUAUGAGCAUUGAUUGACAACAACUUUCAACAUUUAUAUGGGCAUUGUAUCUCAAAAGCAAUUCAGCAUUAUAUGGAACAACAAAGCUAUUAUCAAUUUUUACUCCAGUUUUUAUAACAUAGUUUGUAUCAUCAUCGCGUUGUCAACAAAUUGGGAAACCAUUAGGCUCAAAAAUUGUCUCAUUUUUAUGCGGUUUAGAAAAGUUUUUAGAGCAUUUAUUUUCCUGCUUGCAAGAAGACUUUUGAUUAAUGUCCACAUGGACCAUGAAUCAUAAAUUGAUUAAUAAUAUCAUAAAGCUCAGGAUUCACUAAUUUGUCUGGCAACUCAACUGAAAUAAUGAAAUCUAUAUUCGAUGAAACAUAACACUUAAAAAUUGAUUUCAACCAUAUUAACAUAUGAGAAUGAGGUAAACUUUGUUUUUGAAACUCAAUCGUACAAACAUCUGUUUCAAAAAAAAAAACAAAAUUAAAGACAACAUGCAAAAAAACCAAAAAAUGUAAAAAGGUUAGUUCAUUGAAAAAGAAAAGGAGAAAGUAAAAUAAAAAGAUAAUAAGUUUUUGGAACUCACUUGCUUCAACUUCUCCAAAAGGUUGUCAAGAUUUGAUAAAAUGUAGCAUGUCAUCAAAUUUCAUUUUAAAUAUUCUAAAAAUUAUAUCAGGCAUAUCCUCAGGUUUAAAUUCCUUUUUUUUUCUUUUUCAAAUUCUCUUAUAAUUUCAGGCCAUUUCACAUUAUAGGUAAAUAAAAUCAGGAUGUCCAUAUUCUUUACAAAUAGUCAUAGAAUCUUGAUAGUUGUUAAUCAUGUAUCUAGGACUUGCUGUAUAAGAAGCAGGCAAUACAAUUUUUUGGCAUUAUUGUCACCCCUUGAUGUAAAUUCCUUUGCAAACUUCGCUUCUCAAAUUUUUCUGAUUUUGUCUAAUGUAAUCCAAUCUAUCUUCUUCAAGUGUUGCACAGAGUCUACCAAAUACUGUUGAAAAAGUCAACCACCUUUUAACAAUGUAGUUAGAGAUGGUUCUCACUCUUGAAUUUGAUAAGCUAUAUAGACUCUUAUAGGUAUUCUUUGUCUUUUUGUUUUUGGACCUUUAUGAUUUUCAUUCCAUUUUAAAUCCAGUUUAUACCCAACUUCACCAUAUGAAAAAAGAUAGAAUACUGAAAUGCCAUAAACUUUGGAUUCAAUUUUGUAAUAGGUUUUAACCUUUCACUUCUAGAGUCUACAAUGAUAUCUAUGUUAGAAUUAGAGAGGCCUAUAUCACUAACAAUUAAACCACCCAUUUCAUCACUUGUUGGUUGGUCAUAUUGUUUGCUAUCAUUUGGCUGCCUUCCUAAUAAUGUCAACUUAUAAUAAUGUCAACUUAUAAGAAAUGAGACCAUCAGUUUCAAAUUUAUCUCUUGCCAUCUGAAAAAGUAUGACCAACUUAUUUGAUUCAUCAAACAUUUUAAUCAAACCUUCUACAAUUUUUGAAUCAAGCUUUACAUUCUUUCCAUCACAAUCAAAAGCAUUUACACGAUUUUGCACUUCAUUAUAUGUAUCAUAAAUAUAGAACUGAGCAAAUUUUGAAGAUUCAUUAUCAGCAUGGAGAAGAGAUCCCAUUAAAUGACAAACUUGACCACUAAUUUUAAAAAUAUAAGGGCUUGAUCCAUCAUUGAUUGAGUGAUCAACUUUUGCUCGCAUUGAGCUAAAUAAAAACAUAGAGUUGUACGCCCUGAUAUUUUCACGAAAUGUUAAACUUUUUUUACUUCUAGUUGGAUCAAGUAAACGGUCCAAAAAAACUGGUGUUGGUUUUGGAGUUGAAAACUUAAUUUUUCCUUGCUCUUGUCAACCAAGAUAUAAUCUUUUGGAACCCCUACAAAAAAUAAACGGAUGAAAAAUAAAUAAAUAUAAUAUGGCAAUUAGUAUGUAAUAAACUAAAUGUGAAACUUAAAACCCACCAUAAAAAAAAUAGAACCAAAUUGACAACGCACCGUUUCUAUUUUUU
rnacentral:lncRNA from 1 species